rnacentral:lncRNA from 1 species
UUUAAUUUAUCUUAGUAAACUUUAAUUCCAACAUAAUUAAUGGUUAAAUUUAUCAAUCAAUUGAUAAAUCAUUUUAGAUAAUAUUAUGAUAAAUUAAAAAAAUUUGGUUGAUUUAGUUUUUUGAAGUUGUUUUGGUUUUCAAAUUACUCAAUCGAGUUGAACCGAAUAAUCGAGAAAACCUCAUCGAGCCCACUGAAAUUAGUUGGUUUUGAUUUGAUAAUUUGGUUUAAACCGAAUAGUGCACAGAAUUGGACCGGAUCUGAAUCGGUCUUAUUGGGUCAUAAGUUUAAUGGACCCAAUAAGGCCCAAUGCAAGCCCACGAUCCGAGAUAAGCCGAUGUAGUAGGGAUGUCGAGAGCCGAGAACAAGCGAGCUGGGCAGCUUGUGUUUGCUUAUUUAUUAAACGAGUCAGACACGUAUUGGUGCGUUAAAAUUUCAAGCCGAAAAAUUCAGCACAUUUGCGACUUGUUUAUUAAUGAGCUGAACACGAACCCGCUCACAAAUAGUAAGUUAAAUUAUUAGCCCUACUACUAGCUGAAAAGUUAAAAGAAAACUAAAAAAUUUAGAAUUUUAAUCAAAUAAUUAAAAUUCAUAAAAUAUAGAUUUCUUUAUAUUUGAAUUGGCCUAAAAUCCAAAUGAGUAAAAACAAUUGGGUGAAAAGUUAAAAGAAAACUAAAAAAUUUGAAUUGAUCUUUUCAUAUUUGGAGUGGCCUAAAAUCCAAAUUAGUAAAAAAUUGUAAUAUAUAUAUAUAUAUAGAGUGCGUCAGGGGUGCUUUUGGAAGCACGGAGCACUCCGUGCUUCCAAGUUGUUUUUGAUGUUGGGACUUUUGAAUCGACGAUUGGCUCCGUUAGACUUGAUCUAGAGUAUUUGAAGUAUCUAGAAAAUAAAUUUUGCGAUUUUUCGAUAUCAUUUGCCUAGUGAUCGAAGUGGCUCAAAAUCAACGGCUGAAAAUAAAAAUCUUACAAAAUAUGAUGAUAUGACAUUAAAAUUUUAGAUCAAAGUUAUUGAUCUUGUUUUAUAUGGUAUAAAGAAUUUUCUAUCAAAAUUUCAUGUGAUUUGGAUAUUUUUACACCGUUAAACUUGCAAACAGCUCACCACGGCCAUUAAAAUUAUUAAUUUUGAGCCUCUUCGAUCACUAGGCAAAUAAUAUCGAAAAAUCGCGAAAUUUAUUUUCUAGGUACUUGAAAUACUCUAGAUCAACUCUAACAGAGCCGAUCGUCGAUUCGAAAGUCCGAACAUCGAAAACAACUUGAAAGCACGGAGGGCUCCGUGCUUCCAGAAGCAUACCAGCCCACUCUCUCUCUCUCUUUCUCUCUCUCUCUCUCUCUCUAUAUAUAUAUAUAUACUAUUUAUAAAAGCGUGAGUUUUGAAUUUUUUUUUUUUUCUAAAAAUGCCUCUAUCUUUUUUAUUAAUAGUUUUAUGUUCAGUAAUUUUCAACCAAUCAUUUCAAAUAAUUCACUAAGUAAUAAUUUAUUCUCAAAUAAAGAUAUUAAUUUUUUGCCAUUAGAUCUUUUCUAACGAUUGAAAAUAAAAGUAUCUGUCACUUUUUGUGACAAUAAUAUCCUUAUUUUUAUAUCACAUUUUUUAUGUACGCGUUUCUCAAAUAUUUUCUUUCUCACUCAUAAUAUACGUACCCAUCAAUCCUUUCUCAACGUAAUAUCCGUAAAUUUUUCAAAUAUCUCAUUAAUCUACCUAUCAUAUAUGUCAACUACCUACAUAAUAUCCGGUUAACCUUUCUCACACGUAAUAUCCACGCAUUUUUCAAAUAUCUCAUCAAAAUUUUAAUCUUUUCUCUUCGUUUCUAAAGAAUUUUUUCAGCCUAUCAUAAUUUUGAAUUAAAUAUAUCAUCGCAUUUGAAUUUAAAUAUUAAAAAGGAUCAAAAUAAAAUUUUAAAUUUUAAAUUAAAUAUGAAUUUUAUUACGAAAAUAUCUCUAUCUUUUUAACUAAUUUUUUUAUGUCGAGGAAUUUUGAGUUCGUCAGAAAUAUAUAAUAUCUCCAUUAUCUUCGCAUUUAAACUUAAAUCUUAAAGUAGAUCAAAAUUAAAUUUUAAAUUAAACAUCAAUUUCUUUUCGAAAAUGUCUCUAUCUUUUUUACUAAUUUUUUCAUCGUCAGAAAUUUUGAACCAUUUUUCUAAAUAAUUCAUUAAAUUUUGGAUUUCUCAAAAAUAUAUAAUAUCUUUGCUACCCACGUAUUUGAAUUUAAAUCUUAAAGUGAAUCAAAAUUAAAUUUUAAAAAUUUUAAAAUUUUUGAAUUUCAAACUUAAAGUGGAUUGAAAUUAAAUUUUAACUUUAAAAUUAAACAUAAUUAAAAUUUUAAUUAUAUAGAAAAUAUCUUAAUAUUUAUCCAUACCCAAUUUUAUCUCAUCAUAAUACUUAUCUAUACAUAAAAUAUAUCUUAUUUUAAUACUUUCUCAUCUCCAUCUAUACGUUUCUUAAAUAUAAUAAAGUAUAUCCUUUUUCAUUUUUACUAUACGUUUUCUCAAAUAUAUUAUUUUAGUAAUAUCUUAUUCGUUUCUCAUCGUCGUUCUCGAUCACCUUCGCCACAGUUAGAAAGGUAUUUUGCUACACCUAAUUCAUUUUAAUGUGUCAUAAUAUAAUUUUCUACCUAAUUCGUCUUUCGUAUACUUUGUUUUACUUUUUAAGAUUUUUAAAUGCUAAUAAAUGUGCAUCUUCAUGACUUUUUAUCUCUCACAUUAAUUGCGCAAAUCAUUAGCAUAUUAUUUUUAGUAAUAUCUUUUUUCAUUUUCACCUGUAUUUUUUUUAAAUAUUGUCAAAUAUUUUUUUUACUAAUAUCCUUUCUUAUUUGUCCUCGUCGCUGGCACCGGCAUAUCGUCAUCACCGACACCGGCAUGUUGUUGCCUUCGCUACCUUUGCCACAUUUGGAGAGGUAUUUUGAUCUAAACUGAAUUUUUUUUUAAUAUGCUUUUAUACUAUUUUAGUAUAUCUAUUUUUUAGUAUUUUCUUAUUUACAUUUAUACAUUAGCACCAGCAUAUCGUCAUCGUCAUCGCCGACAACGGCAUAUUGUCGCCUUCGUCACCUUUGCCACAUUUGGAGAGGUAUUUUGAUCUAAACUAAAUUUUUUUUAAUAUGCUUUUAUACUAUUUUAGCAUAUCUUUUUUUUAGUAUUUUCUCAUUUACAUUUAUACAUUUAUCAAAUAUAAAAUAUAUAUUUUGUUAGUAAUAUCUUUUUUUCAUUUUCAUCUAUAUUUUUCUCAAAUAUUUCAAAUAUUUUUUAGUAAUAUCUUUUUUUCAUUUGUCCCCAUCGCCGGCACCGGCGCAUCGUCAUCGUUCUCCUCAUCAACAUCACCGGCGCUGGCACAUUAUCACCUCGACAUCACCGUCGCCGGCACAUUGUCAAAAUUAAUUUUAAAUUUUGUUCAAAAAUUUUAAUGUGAAUUCAUCAACUUAAAAUUUAGAAUUAAUUCAAAUUUUAAAUUUUGUAUACACGUUAAAAAUAAUUGUAUAUUAUAAAAUAAAUAUGAAAAGCAUUUAUAAUGUAACUAAAUUAAAAAUAUAUAAAACUUAUCCGAAGAUAAAUUACAGUUAAAAUUUGAUAAAUAGACUCAUACCACCAAUAAAUAUUUAAAUUUAAAAUAUAAAUAUAAAUUUUAUUUGAUUUAAUGUGACGUGCAUUAUAUAUAUAUACUAGUUGAAUAUACGUGCAAAUGCACGUAACAAUUAUUAUAAUUUAUUUCAAAUCAAUAUAAAUUUGUAUAUUAUAUAUAUUCAAAAUUUUACAAUAAAAAUUAUACUUAUAAAUUAAUAUGUUAUAUUUUAUUAGAAAAUAUUUAUAAUAUCCUACAGUGUUCUUUUUUUUUAUAUAUACAUCGAAUAUUUUUAUAUACUUUUUGAUUUUUGAUGAAUCAAAUUUAAAUAUGUGUUUUAAAUUAAAAGCAUCAAAAUUUAAUUUAUAUUUAUUUUAAAAUUUAAAUUUAAAUUUUGAUUCACUGUAAUAAAAAAAUUAAUUGUUAAUUCAAAUAUGAUAUCAAAAAUUAAAUUUAAUUCAUAAUUUAAAUUCAAAUUUUAAUUUUAAUGUAAAAUAGAUUAAUAGAAAUGCUUUUUUUUUAACAAAUUGAUCAUAACCAUUUAUUUUUAUUUGAGAUAUUUUUAACAAAUUGAUUAUAAUUAUAUGAUUAAAUUUAUAGAUAGAUAGGAAUACUAUUUUUUAAUAAAUUGAUCAUAACUGUUCUUAUUUGAGAUAUUUUUUUAAUAAAUUGAUCAUAACCAUUUAUAGGGAAUAGAUUUUUAUAUAUAGUAAAGAUUUAAUAGAUUGAUCAUAACCGUUCAUUUUUAUUUGAAAUGUUUUUAACAAAUUAAUCAUAACCAUUCGUAGGGAAUAUUAUUUUAUUUCUUUUUGGAUUCCGUCUGUCAUUGUCAGAAUUUCCAUACGCUUAUAUAUAUAUAUAUAUAUAUAUAUCAAUUUAACUGGGGAUUAUUAUCAUCCUAACCGCAUAUUCUUUCAUUCAAUUGCCAAAAACUCAAUAGUACCAAGGGUUUGGUACUAUUGAUAUUGAUUCACUAAGGUUUAGUGGUGGUCUCUCUAGUGUUGAGUGGGUGGUUAGUUGAAUAGUAUGAUCUAAAGUGUGGAAUUGAUUAAAGUGUAAAUCUAACGGUUAAAAAGUUGACAACAAAAGAACCCAAAUACCACUAAUAGUAUUCCAGCUCAACUCUAUAUCACUUUCUCUCUCUAUAGAGAGAGAGAGAGAGAGAGAGUCUAGCUACUAUAUUCUUAUAGGUCCCUUAAUUUACUUAUAAAUUUUUUGUCGAUAGAUUUAUCCCUUUGACCAUUUUUAUCCGUUAAAUCGUAUUAUUCAACUAACUACCAAUUCAACCCUAGAAGACAACUAUUAUCCUAAUCGGGAAUCACUAUUAUCCUAAUCAUACAUUUCUUUAUCCAACGGUCGAAAACUUAUAAAUAUAAAAGGCUCUAUACUCAUAAGAGUAUAGUAGCCCUAACUUAUAUAUAGAAUACUCAAUAUAUUUAAGCUAUAUUAAACUGAACAUUAGUGAGCUGACUCGAGCUCGUGUUCGACUCGUUAAGAUUUCGAGCUAAAAAAUUCAAAUCGUAUUCGGCUCUUUUAUUAAAUGACCGAUUGAACUCGAACUCAUCUCAAGUUGAAUGCUAACGGGCUCGCAAACAACAAACUGGAUUGCUAACCCCCGAUAUUGAGGUUCAUGUAACAGUACACUAGCAGAUGAAACAAAAUUGUGAUGAAAAUAUAUACGCAAAUGCUUCUUUGUUUUUUGAUACGGUCAUAGAAAAUAUAUCGUAAAAAGUUCAUUAUGAUAUCCAUAACAUUAUAUUAUGCACGGAAAGUACAUUUUUAUUAGAGUUUUUCGCUCCAAUUAACGCAAUGACAAAAUUGUAUGAGACCCAUCUCCUACUUUUACUUCCAUUUGUUUACAUCUUCUUAGCCUUGAUUUUUCUUAGAAUUACAUUAAGUUACUUUUGUUGAUUAAAUUAAAAAUUUUAUCAAGUUCUGUGGCAAUUUAAUUUAGCAAUUACUAAAUAUUAUUUAGCGAAUAUAUACAAAAAAAUUAAAUGCUAAAAUCUUUAUUAAUUGAUGAAAAAAUUAAGGUAAAAAUGCAGGGGACCCGUCAACUAUAUGCUAUUUUGAAAUGCACCCUAAACUUUUAUUUUAAUGUUAAACAAUUAUUUUAAUCAAUCAAAUAAAAGAUUUCAUGAAUUGAUUUUUUAAAUAUUUUUAUAGAUACAACUUAAAUAUUUAUCCCUCAACCAAACACUGCCUUAAUGACUAAUAAUAAAAAUUAACUUACUUUAGUAGAAUACUCAAUUUUUUUUUAAAAAAAUCAGAAAUUAAUGGCGUUUUAUGAAGAAAAAAGUUGAGGUAAAAAUUUCAAAAUUCCAUGUAGUUGAGGGGCCUCGAUACAUUUCUAUCAAAGUUAAAGGGGUAAGUUACAAUAUCUCAAAAAAGAAAAAAAAUCUCCCCAACGAAGAUGUAGAGUAAACGCCUCUUCGUAGUAUUAUACUCUCUCUCUCUCUCUCUCUCUCUCUCUCUCUCUCUCUCUCUCUCUCCCCCCCCUUAAUGGAAACGCCGCGGCUCCAAAUCUCUCAAUCGUCGGAGGAGAUAAUCCGAUCUCUUCAGGUCGCACAGAUCCAAUCCAAUUCCCCAUUUCCGCCACAGAUUCGAUCCAAUUACGCUUUUCCUUUUUUUUUGCUCAAUUUGGUUUGAAUUUGAAUUCGAAUUUUGAUUUGUUUGAUUUUGGUUUCAGAUGCGUAUCAGGUGCCAAUAUUUGAGAUCCUAUGCUUCUUAGAUUGAACUCGGACGAAGGGAGACGCGAAGUUUUAGGUAAAAAUUGAACCUUUUUUUGUUUUUUUCCUGUAAUCUAAUUGGAAUAGCAUGCUUGGAGAGGUUUGAAAUUUGAAUCUUAUAAAUGGAGGAAUGGCUAUGCGGAAAAUUGAGUAAUUUUGUUGUGGGAAGUGAGAAAUUGUGAAGAAAAAUGAGAAUUUCGAAAUUGAGGGGAAAAAAUGGGAAUUAUAAAGGGGGAAUAAUUAGAGUAGAAGAAUGGGCAAAGGAGUUAUUCUAUCCCUUUAGCUUGGCCUCUAAUUAAUCCAAAAUGCACCUCGAAGUGUUAGGGUAUCUUUGGCCCUCUAAUUGUUGUUCAAAACAUACUUUGAGGUUAAGCUCUGUUCCAAAAUCUUCUCAACAGAUUUUCUCUGCAGCAGAUUCAGAAGCCCAAAAUUGGAGCUUUUUUCUUCUUUGGGUGUUAGAAUUUGACAUCUGCAUCUCGAAACAGUAGAGGACAUGAUAUGGCUGCAGCUUACAGCAGAAGCAAAAGUAGGGCCAAUCAGACACUUAAUUUCUUGAUUCUGUACUGCUACAAUUAUGCAACGCCUUUUAUUCCUCUUUUAUUGGUGAGAGAGGAGUUUCCUAUGUACUUUAAAUGGCAUUUAUAUCAUGAUGGCCUCACAUGAUGAUGUAACUUCAGAUAGCAGCAUCAGUUGCCAAAAUGAUUUGGGUCAUGAAUUUAAAGCCUUACUGUCCUUAAAUUUUUUUUUUUGUGUUUUGUUUAACUUCUUGAUGAAUUAUGUGUUUUUGAUACACAGAUGUGAAUUUGGAUUAAUGAGCAAUGCAGAGAUCACGUAGAGCUCUUCUGCAGAGAAGAGCUGCUGCGUUGGAGAAGAGCAGCGUUGCCGGGAAGAAGCGCCUUUACGAAGUGUCGCUUUCUUUGCUCAUCUUAUCAUGGGUUCUUAUCUUCCUCCUCAAUUUUUGGAUCAGCCAUGGCAAUGGUUAUAGAGGUGAAUUUCCGAAUCGCCACCUUGCAUGAUUGUGUGCGGAUUAGUUAUUGAAAAGGAAAAGAGAGAGAUUAUGGUGUAGUAGGUAGAUGUUUCUCAAAGAUUAAGGUUGCUUAACAGUUUUUAUGUAGUGUUUCUAUCGUGUUCAUCGAUUCAUUUAUUGUUUGGUGGUUCAUUAGGAAAGUUGUAUGGUACUCUGGCUAGUUCUUUCGGCUUUUUGAUCUCAAUAAAGUUUAUUAUGGGGCUUCUUUUUCACUACCUGCUCAUUUCUACCUAGUAAUAUUGUUUAUUUUUUAACUUUUACAUGAACUAAAUUGAUGUUUUCACUUUGUCUAUCAAUUAAAUAUCGUCGAAGUCACAAUCUUACCUUUCAAUACCUUCCUAUAUUAUCUGCUUCCUUGCAUACACUUUCAAGAGAAUGAAGUUUACGCCUGAAACAGCCUAAUUAAUGUUUUUUUCACGUAAAUUCAUUUCACUUAUUCGUUUUCGUGUUUUAAUGGCAUGCAGAGGGGCAGGGUUCUGCUGAUUGUGAACCUAGCUUGAAUGAAGGUUCUCUAACUCCAGAAAAGGAAUUGAGUUCUGGAGAUAAUUUCGCAGACUCAAAUUCCACCUUUAAUGACUAUGUUGAGAAUGCCCCGACUUCCGAGGGUGAGACUCUCAACGAUAAAACAGGGAUUCUAGCUAACGAUGACGAAGUUAUUCUUUCAUCGGCUCGGAAUGAGCAAACAUCUGAUGCAGACACCGAUCAAGGAACCAAAUCGGAGAAAGAAAGUGCUCCAAAAAGUGAUAGAUUGUCCCGAAUAGCUCCUCUUGGACUUGACGAGUUCAAGAACAAAGCGAUAAAUUCGAAAGGGAAGGUCAUUUCCAGCCAAACCGGCACUGUCAUACACCGAAUAGAGCCCGGUGGGAAAGAAUACAAUUACGCCUCUGCUUCUAAAGGCGCAAAAGUUCUAGCUUUCAACAAGGAGGCUAAGGGCGCUUCAAAUAUCUUAGACAAGGAUAAGGACAAAUACCUCCGAAAUCCAUGUUCAGUAGAGGGGAAGUUCGUAGUCAUUGAACUCUCAGAAGAAACCCUGGUGGAUACAAUUGAGGUGGCGAAUUUUGAGCACUAUUCAUCUAAUCUGAAGGAUUUCGAAUUGUUGAGUAGUUUAGUCUAUCCCACAGAAAAUUGGGACAAGAUCGGGAAUUUCACUGCUGCGAAUGUUAAGCAUGCACAGCGGUUCUCUCUUCAAGAGCCGAAGUGGGCUAGGUACUUGAGACUUAAUCUUUUAAGCCAUUAUGGUUCAGAAUUUUACUGUACUUUGAGUUCAGUUGAAGUAUAUGGAGUGGAUGCAGUAGAGAGGAUGCUUGAGGAUUUAAUUUCCGUGGAGAAAAAAGGAGUGGAAGCUGAUGAAGUAACCGAGCAAGUGCCGGUGCAAGAGAAUUUAGACCGAAAUAAUUCAUUUGAGGAAAUUUUCGACGGAAAUGAUCAUGAACCCGAGAACGAAAAUCUCAAAAAUAAACGGGACUUAUCGAAAAAACCCAUUCCUGAUCCAAUUGCAGAGACGAAGCAAAUACAAGUUGGAAGGAUACCGGGAGAUACAGUUCUUAAGGUGCUAAUGCAAAAGGUCCAGUCCCUUGAUGUGAACUUCUCCAUUUUGGAGCGGUACCUCGAGGAAUUGAACAGCAGAUAUGGGCAGAUCUUUAAAGACUUUGAUGAUGACAUCGACAAUAAAGAUUUGUUGUUGGAGAAAAUAAAAUUGGAGUUAAAGAAUCUUCAAACCAGUAAAGAGAAUUUUGUAUGUUAUAUCUCCUUUUCUUUUUUCAAUUUUGUUCUUUUUUCUGGUGAACUCAACUAUUAUCAUGCUCAUUUUGGGUUUCUUGUUUUCAGGCCAACGAGAUUGAAGUGCUCUUAGCAUGGAAACUAAUUGCUUCCUCUCAAUUGGACCAGCUGGUGAGAGAUAAUGCAAUACUCAGGUUCGACUUGUUCUUUAUUCUUGCGGUGGUGCAACUUAAAAUACUUACCUUCCUCAGAAUUAAUGUAGUCUUUUAUUAUAUCUUUAAACAUAGGGUGUAUUUAUGCUGCAUUUAAAAGUUUUUGUCGAUUUGAUAAUAUUACGCCAUUGGUGGAUGGCUGGAUGAUUUUUCAUGUAAAUCAUUGGAUCUUGUUUUGCAAAAUAAGAUCUAUAAAUAACAACUGCUGCAAACAUGCUUUUAGAUGUAUGGUUUUGAGGGAAUGCAUGAUUCUACGGUGGUAGCUUGUUCGAAACUUUCUGUGAGGAAAGGAGCUCUUUUUCCCUUCAACCUGCAAAGAGUACAUUGGUAAAAUUAGUAAAUUACGCUUCUUAUUUUCGCCUGUUAACAUCACAUAACACCUUAUUUUAAGAACCUAUUUUAAAGAGCUCCUAAUGCAAUAGUCUAGGACAUUAUGACAUUUGUCGAUCUAUUGAGAAAGUCGCUUUCUUUCUCUGGAAAACAAACUGCCACGCAAGGGACGGUUGCAUUCUUGUGUUCGAUAAAAAAGGGAGUUCUAAUAUUAGAAUAGAGAAGUUGAUAAGCACUGAAAAGACUCUUUGAUAGAGACAUUUUAUCUUACAUUAUAUGCAAGCCCUUAGGCUCCAUAGUAUCUUCUCAAACUGUUUGAUCCUUGUUUCUUCGUUCUAAAAGAUAACUCAAAACAAAUAUCGGACGAAGGUAGUAAACUUAUAUUUUUCGUGCUUGACUCACCAAUUGCAGAUGGGAAGUCGAAGAGGUUCGGGAUAAGCAGUUCGACAUGGAGAAGAGGAGUCUUGCUGUGAUAUUUCUUUGCUUUGUGUUCGGGUGUCUCGCGAUUACCAAAUUGUUUCUAGGAGUGUUGUUGAGCAUCUGUAGAUUAUAUGGUUCCGAAAAAUUUUGUAACACAAAUUAUGGUUGGCUCAUGUUGCUGCUUAGCAGUAGCAUUAUAGCUUUCAUCUUGGUAUUAUAAAAUCCGAUGUAUCGAUUAUCGUCUACUUGCCGCUGGACUCUGUUGUGGCAUGAAAUUUUGUUGUUGAGUUAUUUUUUUCUCAUUUUAUGCAGUCUCUGUGUUUGUCUCUUCACUUUCAUGGGCUUGUUUCGCCCUGCUUUUGCUUCUCCGCAUUUACUUUUCACAACCACAAUUUACAAAAAAGAGUGUUCGAGAAAACAGAAAGCAAAAUUAAGAUUUUGGAUCUCAAAAAACAAAAACUUUAAUGUGGAGCUUUUAAUUUUUUCGUAAGAAAAGUCAUUAAUGGUAAUUCAAUAUGGUAGUUAUCUUAAUCGUACUACACUCUACAGCAAAGGGUAUGUUUGGUUGCUCGAAAGUCGGCGAAGUUCAUAAAGUCACUUUUUCACAAAAGUGAGUUUUCAGUUGAUUGUUUGGUUGUUAUAAAAUAAAAGAAUUAAAACUAUAAUUUAUAAAUUUUUUAUUAUUAAAUUAUAUAUAAAGAGGUGAAAAUAUAAACAAACGAUUUAUACUUGCAAUUUAAAUUAAAAAUUUAAAUUUAAAUUUAAAUUAAUAUUUAGAAUUCAAAGUUAUAUUUUAAAAUUUAAAUUUAAAUCUAAAUCUGGAUAAUUAAAAUUUAAGACAUAAAUUUAAUUUACAAUUUAAAUUUAAAAUUUAAGUUAUAACUUAUAACUGAAAUUAAAUUUUAAAAUAAAAGUUCAACACAAAAAUUAGAAUUUAAAUUUACAAAUAAAAUUUAAAAUGUGAUCAUAAUAUUAAUUCAAAUUUAAAGCGAAAUUGAACUUUAAAAAUAAAUUUAAAUAUUAAAGUUAAGACCGAAUAUAUCCUCUUAAUUAAUUAAGUUCUCCGUUUUCGGUGACUUCCGAAUUUUUUGAGCCGAAGUCAAAAAAGUAAAAUUUAGUUAUAACUCACUUUAUCAGCCCACUUUCGUAAAGUAACUUUUAUGUUUACUUUCGUAAACCAAACAGCCGAUAAGACGUCACUUUCUAAAAGUACCACUUUCGAUGCUACACUUUCGGCGAAUCAAACAUGCCCAAAGCCAAACAUAUGAUAUUUGUAAAGCUAAAAUUACUUAUUAAAUGCGAAGUGAUUAACCUAUUCUUAGAUUAAUUUGGGGAAUAUUCUUGUUUGCUUUUUAAGUGGAAUAAAAGCAGGGAUGUACAAAAACUUUGAUUACACUCCAAAGAAACCAAAUGCUAUUGGGAGGCAAAAAAAAAGUACACAUAGCUGGAAAACAUGCUUUGAGUGUAUGGGUGAUUUGGACGUAAUGUAAAGGGAAAACUUCAAAAACCCCCUUUGUGGUUUCGUAGUUUCUCAUUUUGCCCUCCCUGUGGUUUAAAAUGUAUCAAUUUGGCAGCAUGUGGUUUCUUUUUUCUCUUUUUCAUAUCAAUUUCAUUAUUUUUUUUGCCUUAAAUCAGUGAUAAAGUUAAAAUUAAGGGGUACUAAAGUAAAUAUUUGAUAAAUCUAGAUGUGUAUUUGAAGUUUUUUGUAUAUAAUUUAAUGAAAUAUUAACGAAAAAGCUAUCGAAAAAAUAAAAACAAAACCACGGGGGAGCAAUUUGAUACAUUUUAAACCACAGGGGGGCAAAGUGAUAAACUGUGAAACCACAGGGGGGGGGUUUUUGAAGUUUUUCCCUAAUGUAAAAGGAUAGGAUCCUAGGUUAAAUAAAAUAAAAAAAGAAAUUAAUUAAAUCAAAAGAAAAAAAAAAAGAAAAAAAAAAGGUACUAACAAUGUGGGGUUUGCUGAGAAACCAAGUUAGCUUGUAACAUAUUAUGUGUAUUAGAAUAUUAUUGCUAAUAAUUAACAAAUUGAGCCUUUUCGUUUUCUUUUGUUUUUGUUUUUGUUUUUGUUUUUUUUUGUUGAAAAGAACCUUACUUUUUUGUGCUACGUAAUCAUGAUGAGUUUCGUUAAUAAGUUGCUAAAUAGAUGUAUACUUACAAAAAAAUGUUGCGUGUGACAAAAAUUAAGAAGCUAAAAAAACAUUGAACUUCGAACACGCAUCAAAAUUCCCACACACAAAUAUCAUACACAUGCAUAAAAAAUGUAUGGAGAUGCACUCAACUAUAGGCCAUUUUGAGCUUUCGAUUUUUCUGAAUUUGAAUUAUUCUAAUUACUUUAGUUGAAAACUCUGUAAUAAAUUUUUUUUUUCUAGUUUUAUUUACCAAAAAGUAAAUUAAAUCAUUACAUUUUAAUAAAUUAUCUAUGAAAUUCCAAAAGAUUAGAAGUUAAGUAUCUCUGGAUUAAAAAGUUUAAAAUUGGAAAAAUUAACAACCACUAAUACAUAAAUUUUCACUUACAUGCUUUAUUAUUUAGUCUUUAAUGUUCAAAAAUAAAAUCUAAUUUUUCUUUUAUUAUAUAACCACUUAAGUUCUCUAAUAAAUUAGCUCAUUUAGUUAAAUGUAGUUUAUAUAUAAUUAAAAAUGUCAUUUUCAGCUCUUUUUUUUUCAUUAGGAUUCAAAAUUAAGAUAUAAUAUGUUAAUAUUUAUUUUAAAAAAAUAUAGAAACCAAUAUUGGUGGAUAAUACUAGAACUAUUCAUACUUUUCAUAAAAAUAAUACCGUCAAUAAGCUGAACACGAGCGAGCUGGAGCUAGUUCGAGAUCGGCUCUGCAAUUAUUUGAGUCAGCUUGUGUUCAGCUCGAAAGUAAAAGGAGCAGAGGUAAUCGAGCUUGUUUUCGUCUUAAAAUUAAUUCGAGCUCGCCCAGAAUUAUUUCAAGCCAGCUUGAAUACAUUAAUACUAACUACAAUUAGUAUUACCUAUAAUUUCUUAUUUCUAAUUAAUGCUUCCUCUUGCUCAUUUAAUGUUAAAAGGAAAAACUUCAAAAACCCCCCUCUGUGGUUUCGUAGUUUCUCACUUUGCCCCCCUGUGGUUUAAAAUGUAUUAAUUUGCCCCCUGUGGUUUUAUUUUUCUCUUUUUCUUAUCAAUUUCAUUAUUUUUUUUCUUUAAAUCAGUAAUAAAGUUAAAAUUAAAGGGUACUAAAGUGAAUAUUUGAUAAAUCUAGAUGAGUAUCUGAAGUUUUUUGUAUAUAAUUUAACGAAAUAUUAACGAAAAAGCUACCGAAAAAAUAAAAACGAAACCACAUGGGGGCAACUUGAUACACUUUAAACCACAGAGGAGCAAAGUGAGAAACUACGAAACCACAUAGGGGUUUUUUGAAGUUUUCCCAUGUUAAAAUUUAGAAGAAGCCUUACUAACAAUAAACAAAAAUUUAAAAAUAGAAUUUAAAUAUGUUGUUUAUCAAUCUAAAAGUAACAUUUAUUGGUAUUAUUUAUUUAAUUUUUAAAUUAUAUCAAAUCAAAUAUAAGCGAGUUAUGAUCGGUCUGUAUGAUUCGGUUUAUAUAUUAAACGAGCGAAUCGAGUUCGAACGGAUUUUUAAUCAAACACGAGUUAAUUAAUUGACUCCCGAAAAGUUGAAAGGGCCACAUUGGAUCCACUUGCACAAGUUUGGAUGAUACUUAACGAGAUCAAAUUGAUGAUCCAACACGAUCGAAAUACCCACGCAAUAUGUUAUAUGCUUCAUUGGAUGCUUUUUAUUAUUAUAGAGGAUAAUAAUAUAAUAUAGGACAACACAAAACUAAAGAUGCCCGUAGACCGGGUCGGGUCUGGUUAAUUAAUAUACUGUACCCAUACCCUAAAAAGAAAUUGUUAGAAAAAAAUAUAUAUACCCUACCCAUUUAAGUUCGGGUCGGGUCCGGGUCUGAGUACUAAAGUUACUAAUAUACCCAUCGGGUCUAUUUGAGCGGGUCUGGGUAGUGACUACCCGUAUACUAUCCGUUCAAGACCGGAUAUGGUUCGGGUCUAGACCGGAUACGGAUAUCCGUAUGAGUAUAUUUUUUUUAUAAACUUUAUUAAAUAGUCUAUGAACAAACUAUAAAACCCGCCAUAAAAAAACUAGCAUUCUAUUAAGUUGUACCUUCCAAUAAAAUUCAUUUAAAAGAAAAAAAGGGUAGAAAACAAAGAGUAAAAAAAUUAGGAAAAAGUAAUGAGUAAAAGAGACGGCUAGGAUUUCAUUAGGAUGAAAAUACAUAGUGACUCAUCAUUUAUAAGUCAUAUUAAAAUUGAUCCUUCAACUUCAAAAUUUUAUUUUUUUUUAUUUACUAUCGGAUAUUUCAUCGGGUCCGGGUUUGGAUCCGGAUUUGAAAACUAUUCCGGACCCUACCCAUUUAAAAGUUGGGUUCGGAUCGGAUCCAAAUCGGGUAUGGGUAUAAAAUAUCCGGACCCAUACCCGAAACUUUAAUGAGUAGUUUUUUUUAUCCGUAUAUUAUUCAUUUUUUAUCGGAUCCGGUUUGGGUCCGAUUCUGGUCCGGAUAGGGUCCGGAUCGUGUAUGAGAUAUUGGAUAAUUUGGAUACCUUUACACAAAACUGAAUGAUAACAAAUAUUAUUGAAAAUGAGCACCCAGUAGGAAAUAGCCAUGUGGCACUGAUUUGACAGAGAUUUAAUUAUAAAAAUUAAUAAAAUUAGAUGUUGCCACGUGGGCCGGGCGACGUGGCGUUUGGCACGGCGACAUUAGCGGGAGCACUGGGUGAGGCAACGUGGGCGAGAACAACGGUCGCGGCAUCAUGAACGGUAAAAUGCACGGAAACCCCCUCAACUAUAUUGGAUUGUUAAGUAGCUUCCUCCAUUUUUUUUGGUUGCAGACCAUGUUAAUUUUUAAUUUUUAUUCUUUUGUGUUUAAAUACUGACCCAAGCAAGUUAUAAUUUAUUCAAAAAAAUUUAAAUAUUUAUGUAUUAAAAAAAUUUAAGUUAUAAUUUUAUAUUAGUUUUACAUUAAGUAGUUGAAAAAUAUCAAAAGUAUAUCUAAAGUUAUAAGUUACAUUAAUUAGAAAUAGUAAUAAAAAUUAGAUGUCUUUAAUAUAUAUGAGUCCAUCAAAUAUUGCAGAUUAAAUUUUGGAAUAUAAAUUUUAAUUUAGAACUUAAUUUUAAAAUUCUAAUUUAACUUCACUCAUUCUCUAAAAAUAUUAAAUAACUUCACUCAUUCUAUUCCAUAUUGAUAAUUUUUUAAAUAUUUGUAAAAAUUAAUUUAAUUUUAAAAAAUAAAAAGUUUAGAGGCUUAAAAUUUAUAUAUAUAAUAUUGGAACAUAAUAAGCUAUAUAUAUAUAUAUUGGAACAUUUGCAUUUUGAUUAAAAAUUCCAUGUGGAACUCAAAAGAAGCAUCCACGUAAAUUCAACUGAGUCAUCAGAUCCUUUAUACACAUUUGUAUCCAACUUUAAUUCAACUUACUAUACGUGUACACACUCAUGCCCUCUUCUUAAUUAUUUAUAAUGUUUUUUUUUUAAUAAAAAUUUUAUUUGUUUCCAACACGGCAUGUGAGACACCUGUUCCCCUCUUAAAAAAUAAAAUAAAAUAAAAUAAAAUAAACACUUAUAAUAAACCCAAGGUUAUUUAUUUAUUUCUAUUUAUUUACAUUGAUUAAAUCAAAAAUUUUGAAAGGUUACGAAACCCAUUAAUUAUGUGUCUUGUUAUUUAUAUAUUAUUAUUAUUAUUUUUACUAUAAUUUUAAUUACUUAUAGCCUAUAAUAUUCCAACAGGUUUUCUCCUUGUGGAUGUUUGAAAAAAAAAAAAGAAAAAAUACUGAGUCAUAACACUCUAGAAAAAGAUCAAAAUAUAGUAAUUAAUAUAAUAAUUAUACCUAUCACUAGGUUAAUUAUCAUGUUAUAAUAAUAUUUUCUUGCGAAGUUCCUUUUUUUGAUUUUUUUUUUCUUUUUUGGAUUAGGAAUGUCGGUUUGUUUGAAUAUUCGAAAUUUUAUCCGAACUCUCAACUCAGCCGGAUUUGACGAACAUGAUUUUGAAUAUGAGCGUAAAAAAAAUCAACCGUUUCGAGUAUGAAUAUGAACCUUAAGGUGCUUAACCCUAAUUUCGGCUAUUAUAUGAUAGAAAAGUUUUAUAUUGUAUUUAAACUUGUACUUUAAGAAAAUUGGUUAAAAAAUGAUUGUUUUUGUGUUCAAAAUUUUGGAUUCAAUUUGAUUAUGGAUUAUCAAACUUUAACAGUUUUAGGUUCAAAUUUGAAUUUCUGUUUUUCACAAACGGGUUUGGAUUUGAAUUUGAAAUUUUUAAAAAAUUCAACCGAAAAUCGACCGUUGACAGUCCCUGCUUGUUGGAGUCACGUAAACUCCUUUGAUUGUACGAAUAAUCCAAGAGAAUCCAAAAAGUCAAUGCAAAUAUUUUUUAAUUUUUUGUAUUUGAGACUUUCGCCUCUGCCGACGGAACGUUUCUAUUUAGCACAGUUAGCUAAAAAUUUACUGAUAAAUAUUCAAAAUUUGAAAUUAAAAAUUUAAUCAUUCCAUAUUCUUUAACUAAGUUUAUUUUUUUUAAAAAAAAUAAAGUGAAAUAGUAUGCUCUUUUUAAAAAUCAAAUCAGUCAGAAUACAAAUCGCGAGUUUGACCAAGUGAAUGCUUUGAUCACACUAAAUCCGUUUACUGUAAUAAUUUUAUCUACAGACUUAUUUAUCUCUCACUAUGUUGCAAACUAGAAUUGUCAAAUGAGUUGGAGUUGUUUUGCUCGAUCGGAGCUUCUACAAAAAAAAAAAAAAAAAAAAAAGAAAAAAAAAAAGAAGCCACAUUGAUUUUAUUGAAAUAUCUGUUGAUAAUUUUAAGCUACAAUCAAUGGUUUCUGGCUUUUUUUUUUUUUUGAUAUAAUUCACAAAAAAAUUGUAAUCAUCAAGUAGGUGAGCUUUCCAUUAAAUCCAUAUUUUAUUAGGCCUCUAAUUUAGACAACUAAGGGAAAAGGACAAAAGUUAGCUGUGAGUAGCUUAGUCUCUAAGCAUGACCAAUCCCCACCUAUGCACCUACAAUUAGGAAGAGAGAAAAAGAAAGUAAGAGAGAGAGAGAGAGAGCAAAAUUUGGUCUUAGUUUUUUGGCCAAUUUGCAUAAAAAAUUCACUUAUUUUGGGCUUUUGCAAAAUCGUGCCACCUUUUUUAUUUUUGCAGAUUCGGUCCGCUUUUUCAGCAAACUGACCAAAAUACUCUUAUUACUUUUUCUCUUUCCUCUUUCUCUCUCUUCUUCAUUUCUCUCGUUCUUUUUUUUUUUUCUCGCCGGCAGAGCGGAGGCGGAAACGGUCCGUCUCGCCUCUCACCCUCAUGCUCUCGCCCUCGCCCUUACCCUCGUCCAUGCACCCUCCAUCUUCCUCGCCUCCGACCGCGCCAAGGCCGCACCGCGACUUUUUUUUUUUUUGCUUUUUUCUUUUCUUUUCUUCUCCGACUCUUCUCCACCGUCUCCGACGACGACGCUUUUCGCCCUUCCCCCCUUCUCAUCUCUCCCUCUCCCUCAUUUUCUGCCGCCUCUGACGACGAUUUAUCUUUGCCGGCGCCGACGUCGACACCGUAGAGGUCAUCGCGGCGCUACAGCCUCGGAGCGGAGGGUCCUUAACGGCGUAUUUCAGCCGGCGCGGCGUAGGCUGUUGGAUGAGAGGUGACGCAAAAAAUUAUAAUUAGAAAAACAGAAAAAAAAUAGAUAUAAAGUUGAUAAAAAGAAUGUGAAGUAUUGAUUUUAUUACAAAAUUUAAGUUGACUAUUAAGAAUGUAAUGGAGAAUAUUACCUAUUUGACGAAUUAUAUUUUUUUAUCUAAUGAUAUGUUGUAAUACAUGUUUUCUUUUUGUUGUCAUGUUUCUCCUUUGUUGCACUGUUUCUCGUUUAUAUUCAAAGAAAUGGCUGCAGAGAGGAGAGAAAGAAUGUUUAUAAUUCUCUUAAAGGUGAUGUUUCUCCUUUAUUGCGAUUGUUUUUUUUUGUUGCAUUUUUCUAUUGUUUAACAGAAGGGUGAACAAGAGGAGAACGGUGCAAGGAGAACAAUUAGAUUAUAUUCUUAAAACAGGAGUUUUCUCUCUUGUUGAACUAUUUCUUCUUUGUUUCACAAAAUGGUCCAAACAAGAGCGGGAAAAAGUAAUAUCAUUCUUUUAAAACCAGGUGCAGUUUUUCUUGUUGCCAUGUUUUUCCUCUUGGUUGCACUAAGAAAUGGCUGCAAAGAGAAGAACCGUUGUUCAACAAGGGAGAUAAGUAUAAAUAUCUAUUAAAAGGGUGCAAGUUAAGAAAAAAUAGUUGUAACAAGAGAAGAGAAUGGUGCACAGAGGAGAAAGUGAAUCUUUGUUUAAGGGUGUAAUUUCAUCUGUAAUGAAUAGUUUGAUCUGAAGGUGUAUAAGAGGAACGUGUAAAACAUUUCAAGAGUGUCAUUUUAUUUAAAGAUAUAUUUAUUUUAAGCUAGUUUAACAUUUUAAGUAGCAAAUUAUAAUUAUUUUUUGCAUUUACGAUGAGUUUAUGUUAUUCAUUCUUUAUAUAAUUUUUUAUCUUUAUUUUUUUCUUUUUUUCUAUAAAUUUUUUUAAUUUCAAAUCUUCACAAGCACCUGGUAGCCGGACGACGCGCUUAAGGAGACCCUGCUCCGGUUGUAGCGCAGCGCAAUCGUGACCUCACGGCUGUCGAGUCGGCGCACGGCGAAGAUGUAGUCGUCUGACAGGCGCGAGAAUGAGGAUGAGGGGAGAGAUGAGGAAGGGAGGCAGGCGAGUGAGGUCCGUGUCGGAGACGGUGGAGAGAGUCGAGAGAAGAAGAAAGGAAAAAGAAAAAAAAAAGUCGCGGCGCGGCCUUUGCGGGGUUGGAGGCGAGGAAGGUGGGGGGUGCGUGAACGAGUGCAAGGGCGAGGGCGAGAGAAUGAGGGUGAGAGGCGAGACGGACCGUUUCCGCCUUCGCUCUGCCGGCGAGAAAAAAAAAAGAACGAGAGAAAGGAAGAGGAGAGAGAAAGAGGAAAGAGAAAAAGUAAAAAGGGUAUUUUGGUCAGUUUGCUGAAAAAGCGGACCAAAUCUGCAAAAAUGAAAAAGGUGGCCCGGUUUUGCAAAAGCACAAAAUAAGUGAAUUUUUUAUGCAAAUUGGCCUAGUUUUUUUAAAGGAAUAAUAUCUAAUAUAUUCUCUAAAAUUUUACAAAUAUUUAAUGUAUUUUGAUUGAACAAAAUGCUCUUUGAAAUUUUAAAUUUUUUUUUGAAUUUUUUUUUUUUUUGAGAGAGAGAUAGGUAGCACGCUACCCGUUUCGUUUAUUUCAUUUAGAAAUCAACUAGAAUUCGAACUUGGGUCUCGGAUACUAACUAUCAAGUGCUUUGCCACUUGCUUUAGGAAUGGUCAGUAUUUUUUGAAAUAUUUCAAAAGAGAGAUCACUAAUGGAAUUGACUUUUAGAAAAAUAUUUUGAGCAUAAAAGAAUACAUUUAAAAAUUUUAAAUGAAGUCGGGAAUAAAAGGGCCGGAAAAUUUUAAAUUUGAAUGAUUCACCGCGUUUUGAAAAAAAAUUCUACGUGGCGAAGAGAGGAUUAGUUUGCCAAAUAUAAAUUUGGCAGUGUUAUUUCAUAAAUUACAAAAUUUUAAAAAGUUAUUUUGUAAAAUAAUUUUCAUUUUUUUACUACAGUAGAAGGUCAUCAUCGUAAAAAGAAAAGAAAAAAAAAAUUUGACAACAUCAAUUCUCUCUCUUUCUCACAAUCUCUCUCUAUUUUUUUUUUUGUUUUUUAAUUGUUGGUUAUACGGGGGGCUGUUUGAUUCUAACUAUUUUUUCAAAAAAGAAAAUUAAAAACAUUAUUUUUCUAAAUUUUUAUUUUCCAGUUUUUUAAAAAAACCUGAAAAACACAAACACUCUUUUUUUGUUUAUCAGAUCUGAAAAAAAAAGUUUUUCAAAAAAAAAAGAGGCUAAAUUAGAUAAAAUUCUCCGUCAAAAUUCUAUUUUUUACUUUCCCCUUCUGUCAUUUAAAAAUCUAUAUUUUGCCCCCCUUAUAAAAUAAAAAAUAUUCACAGGGGGUACGGUGUGUAAAAUAACUAUUUUGCUCCUCAUCAUUUUCGUCUCCUCCCUCAUGCAUCUUUCUCAACAGCAGCCUCCAUUUUCUUCUUCACCUGCUACCCUCUCCUCCUGCAUCCUCGCCGCCCCUCAAUUUCGGCGACAGUAGGAUAGAAAUCGAGAUGGGGGUGGAUGGGAAGACGAAGGCGAAGUGGCGGAGGAGAGCGAAGGGGUGUUUGUAGGCGCGGACGGAAAUGUGGGCGAGGGCGAGGCAGUGGAGGAGUGCGAGGUGGCGAGGCAGCGAAGCAACAGAAAAAAAAGGGGGAGGAAUAUUUUUGGUAUAAAAAAUAUUUUAUAACGGAACCCUAACGGAUCACGAUAGGGAGUAAAGUGCACAUUUUUUAUUUUACAACGAGGCAAAGUAUAGGUUUUUAAAUGACAGAGGAGAAAAGUGAAAAAUCACGUUUUGACAGAGAAUUUUCUGUAAUUUAGCCAAAAAUUAAAGUGUAAUAGUUAAAAUAUUCUUGAGAGAGAUUCAAAACUUAAUGGGAAAACUUCAAAAACCCCUCCUGUGGUUUCAUGCAUUCUCACUUUCAUACCCUGUGAUUUAAAACGUAUCAAUUUGCCCCCCCUGUGGUUUCAUUUUUCUCUUUUUGUUAUCAAUUUUAUUAUUUUUUUUUCUUAAAUCAGUGACAAAAUUAAAAUUAAAGAAUACUAAAGUGAAUAUUCGAUAAACAUAGAUGGUUAUCUGAAGUUUUUUGUAUAUAAUUUAACGAAAUAUUAACGAAAAAGCUUCUGAAAAGAUAAAAACGAAACCACAUGGGGGCAAAUUGAUACGUUUUAAAUCACAUGGUACUAAAGUGAGAAUGCAUGAAACCACGGGGGGGUUUUUGAAGUUUUCCCAAACUUAAUUUGUGUUCCGCAACUAAAACGCGGCACAAAAAGCACAAAAGCAGGUCCAGGGAAAGGAGUCGCACGGAAACCGGCACCGAAUCAUAAGAAAGUGCCGAAUUUCGUUUUUUUUUUUUUUUUUUUNUAUAGAAAAAAAAAAAAAAAAAAAAACAAAAGGGUGGUGUUUUGCGUGGAAGCAAUAGAGCCCUUGAUUUGCGAAGCUCAUCACUUCACAAUCCCCGUACACCCUCCCUCUCUCUCUCUCUCUCUCUCUCUCAAGAUAUAUAUAUAUAGAGAGAUGCUCCUCAUCUUUCUCCUCACUUAUUCGAAAAGGUAGUAUUGUUAGAAAAGACGUAGAAAUUUCAACAAACGCAGAAAAAAAAGCAGAACCAAACAGCAAAAGUAGUCUCUUUUUUUAAGACUCUUUUCCUUAAAUUCCUCCUCACCUUUUUUUUUGGGUUCUUUUUAGGCCUUGGCAUUGUUUAUAUAUAUAUUGCAUUGCCUCGCACGCUCUUCUUCUUCUUCUUCUUCUUCUUCAAGCCAUAUUCUUAUCUUUCAUUAUUAGAACUCUGGGAUGGAGGGUGCAAGUCAUAUCGGCGAUGAUAUGUUGGCGGAGAUCCUCGCGAAGCUGCCGUUGAAGCCGCUGUUCCGGUUCAAAUGCGUGUCCAAGUCGUGGCGCGGCCUCAUCUCCGAAAACCACCUCCGGCGGCGGCUCCCCCUCCUCACCUCUGGGGUGUUCUACUGCUCCGGCCCCGGCCCCCACAACGGGCCGAGGUAGCAAUUUAAUCUUUUUCUUUAAAAACUUAAGCCGUCAGACUACAGUGUUUAUAUAUAAAAACGUCAAGUUUUUUUAAUGAAAAUUCGCCGGAGCAUGAUGUUUUUAAUAUUUUAUAUUCAAUAGGUACGCAUUUGCUUCCGAUGACGGAGGGCUUGAGGAGUGCGACCUCGAUUUCUUCCCUUUCCUUCGCAGUUCGACAUUGGUCGACAGCUGCAACGGCCUCCUCCUCUUCUACGCGGCCCACCCGGCGGCGUUCUACGUCGCGAAUCCGAUCACGAGGCGGUGGAGGGCCCUCCCCCGGCCCCAGGGCAGGACCCGGCUCUCGAUCCUCGCCUUCGACCCCUCCGCGUCUCCGGACUACAAGGUCAUAUGCUUCACCGGGUGGCGGCCCCGCGGCGCGGACAUCGAGACGUUCUCCUCGGAGACCGGGGAGUGGGCCCCCGGCGAGCUGAAUUGGCCGGGGGUCGAGACCGACGCGAUGUUGGCCACCAUGCACUGCUUCGGCGGCGCGCUCUACAUUCUCGCGCAUUCGGGCUGCGUCAUCCCCGUCGACCUCGCCACGAUGGAGUGCCGCGCCGCAAUCGGCCUCCCCGAGCCGAUGAGCCCCGACGGGCGCCUCGGCAACCGCGGCGGGAGCUUGUACUACUCGCACACCAGUGAUCAUGACCAUGAGCUCAAAAUUUGGACGUUGGGGCAAAAUUGCACCUGGGUGAUGAGGUGCAGUGUGAGUGUGAGUGAGCUUGGGUUAGGGUUAGACUCGGACCGGGCCCAAGUGUUGGCUUUUGACCCGGAGAGGGGGGUGGUGUACAUGUGGGUGGGUGGGAAAUUGGUGGGGUUUGAUUAUGAGAGGAGGGGGGUUUUCAAAGAGUGGGAGUUUGAAAAAGAGAGGGAAAGGGAGAGGCCUCAUCUCAUUCAAAUUUGGGUGUUCCCUUUCUCAAACUACCUCUCAAAUUGCUUAAGUUGAUGGGGAUUGGAGAGUUGGAAAUGAAAAUGAUAUCAUGUUUAUCUACUGUGAAUGGAAUUUUUUUUUAAUCAACUAUAUAUUUUGGCCGCAGAAUCCUACGCAUUAAACCUUCAAUAAUACCUAUACUAUAUGAUGCAAAAAGUUGGGCGGUCGAAUCCCACAUAUAAAAUGCACAUGCAGAGAACGAACCUCUGAUCUUAUAGACAACAUUUUGAGUAAUAAUCAUUCAGUUUAAACAAUUUAGUAACACCCAAUUAAUAAUAACACUUAGGAUUAUUUUUUUUCCAGAAAUAAAAGAAAAUAGAGAGAGAGAACAAAAAACACCCAACUAAUAAUAACAAUAAAAAAAAAGGCAUGCUACACCAAGAAAUUGAAUCUGUUUUAAAAAAAAAUCUAUCUGAAGAACCAAAUAGCAUAAUGCAGUAAAAUGAGACAAAACGAAGAUCAGACACAUUUUCACUCGAGAAAAAAAGAAAUAUAUUCAGAGAGUAAAUUAAAGAUGUAAAUGUAACAUUUAUUUAUUAUCUUCUGGGAAUAAUUAUUGAAGGAAUGUCAAAAUAGACACCACUUAUAAUGAGAGUGAGGAGUGUUGAUUAAUGCAGUAAAUUGUACCUAUUUAUGUAACAAAUGAAUCGGUUUCGAGAUCAGAUCUCGCCUAAUGGCGCUUGCAAUGAGGGAAGAGUCCGAGGAUGUGCUCCGGCAUGAAGUCGUGCCGUGUUAGGAUCCCUACGAUCGGAGGCCUCUGCGAACACACAAGUUGUUGUAUUAGGAAGUGUUUGUAUGAUAAGAAAACGCCGAUGCAGAUAAUGUACUUUCCACGAAAAUGCUCGAAAAGCUGAAGAAAAUCAGGUUUUCUACAGAGCAGGAAGAAGCAACUGAUAAAUGAUGCAAAGCAUUUUCUCUAAGACCUGUGACAACAUGAAGAAAUAAUUGUUGGGUAGCUGAUCCGAAAGCACAUUUGUAGGAGCCAUCGCUACUUUUUUCAGUUGUAUACACAAGGAAACAUGGAACAAAAGAUCAUCUAAAAGUUGAAUUCAAUUGUCGAAAAACUGAAUGAACAGGAAAGAGCUCAUAUUAUAUAUAGCUAAAGAGUUUUUUUUUUACUCAAUUCUAUCGGAGAACCGCACCUAGACACAUAAAAUAAGCUUAAUCUAAGAUAACAAACUACAGUGUAACUUAAUUGCUAUAUCAAUUACCGGUGCAAGCGUAACGAGUUCCCUAAGUUGCAUAUAUAAGUGAAUGAUAAAAUCAGAGAAGAGAAUUCUUACCCCUGGGGUCUUAGGCACAACACACAGGUGUCUAAGCCCGAGCUCCCUGAAAAGAACUGCUGCCUUCGCUAAAGACAUCGUCUCCACUACUGAAUAUGGCGAUCUAUUAGUAAUUGGAUGGAGAUCGACAUACAUUUCUGUCUCCUCCUCGCUUAUAUCCAAGUCUUCAAACUUUAAGCCCUUCCCCAACCCCGCUUUCGCAAAAUCAAAGGGACCAAACCUGCGGAAAACCUCCGACGCCCCAGUCAAUACCCUAUCUUUCGUAAAUCUCUUUCCUUUGAGCACGACAAGCAAAUGUGACCUCAACACAAGCCCGCACAGCUCGGGCGCUGCUGAGAAAGGCGGCUCAUUUAUUACUGGAAAGCCGUUAUGGCCCGUCAACGUUAAAGCCUGCACUAUGGUUCCCACCUUUUCCACGCUGGAGAAGGUAAUGAGCGGGCCUGACACGACGUCCCUUGCGACCAAGUUUCUCAUGUAUGGCUCGGCAUGGGCUUCCAAAUAGGGCAAGCCCUUCAUCUUGACGAUCUGGUCAUAUACACCUUUGUUGAAGCUAUCAGCUACAGAUUUUGAUAUGAGGAGGACGAGCAUCACGAGGGGAAGCAUUAAAAGAUCAUUGGUAAGUUCAAGGAGUAUUACACAAACCGAGACCGUCAUUCUCAUAGUCCCGCCGAGGAAAGAAGCGGCCCCAAGAACGGCGAAAAGGCCCUUAUCCAAGCUUGAAAUAGGGCCGAGGAGUGUGCCGACAAGGCGGCCGAAGGAAGAACCGGCCAGUAUGACGGGGAUGAAGAGACCAGAAGGGACAGCUAUACCGUAAGUCACGAGGCCUAGUGCAUAGACAGCGAAAAAGAAGAUGAAGAGGGUGGAGAUAUAGAACUCGCUUUCAGUGCCGCCACUGAAGAGGUUACGAAUGGCGUCGUCAUUGGUGUUGAGGAAAAGGGAGGCAAGGUCGUUGUAGUGGCCCGGGGGGCACUGAAAGCUCUUGAAGUUGCCCGAUCGGCCAAUGGUGGGGCACUGGUGGCCUAGGUCGGGGGGGCAUGGCGUGCACUUGGCGAGCCAAGGGAGGCCGAAGGAGCAGCAAGAGGUCAAGAGAGAGAUGGUGACCGUUAGUAGGAUCUUGAACGGAGCGCCUCUUCUGCAAUCGAUACUAAAUUGUCAGGCACCAAAAAGUAAUAGAGAUAUUACAUAUAUAUUCUUGCAAAAUUGCCUAUUAACAUAAUCAUCUCCAAGAAAUCUUAUACAUCCAUUUAGUGUCAGAAAAACCCCUCGACAACAAGAAAUUUCUAAUAGCAAAUAAAAUUACACACAUGAAUCGAAUAAUUCGCCAACAUAAUUUGUACAAAAAUACAUUUUUGAAGAGAUAGGUGUAUAGAAAUCCAGAUUUAUAGAGGUUUAUAUGUAAUAGUUUGAAAACAAAGAGUAUUAAGUUGACGAAAGCUGUUGCCCCAUAAGGCCUCAACCUGCUCAUUUUAGGACAAAAACAAACAUAAUAUGGAUUAAUAGAGGCGACAUACUCAUUGAUGAAGCUAUAAUAGCGAAGGAUCUUAUCCAGCAGAAAGUUGUACAGGGCUCCAAGGAGUCCACCGAGGACGCCAAGCAAAAUAACGGCUAUCAGAUCUGGCGUGCUAUAUGUGGUAACACUUGAACUGACAUCAAACAUUAUUAAUCCUCCUUUGCCGAAGAGACCGCACUUUCCGCUUCUGCAGUAUUCUAUGAGAGCUCUUAACACAACAGCAACCACAGCUGUCGUGAAAAAUGUCCUCCAAAGAAGAGCACUUCUCCACCUGAGAAUUGCAAGAGGACAUAGUACUUAAAAAUUACUAAUUAGUGGAUUUCAAAAAUUCGAUGAGUAGAUGUCAGUAUAACUUCCAUACAUUAUGGAAUAUUAAACGUUUUCACAAGUAAUUUUCAUAUAUUAAGGAUUUGAACAUUAAAAAAAAGGUCCAUUGAUUUUAUCAGGUAGUUCUUCAGCAUAAUAGAGGUGAAAAGGAUAGCAAGAAGUAAGGAAGAUACCAGGAUGCUGCUUCUUCGAGUGCAAAGAGAACCCCGCCAACUGGGGCGCGAAAGGCAGCUGCAACACCUGCUGCAGCUCCGCAAGUGAUCAUAUCUCGCCGAUCUCUGUCAUUCUUGAAGUACCUGAGCCACGUACAUGUCAAUCGAUACUUGUGGGACCCCCCUUGUCCCAGUAGAUUGGCAAUGCAUGCUCCUGUAUGCACCAUAGGGCCCUCCUUUCCCAAUACAAAUCCGGCAGAAACUCCCCCUAUAGAACCAAAUAUCUGCAGGUUGGCACGAAAACCUUCACUAGAUUAGUCCUGCAGCCUCAAAUGGUACAAAAAUAGAACAAAAGACACAGAAUUAUGAAUUACUAGUUUGAAAUGUUUUUGUUUUCCUUCUCAAGAAAGAGUACUUGAAAUGUCCUCGAGAUGAAAGAAGGUGCAUAGAAAAGACUAAUUCUUUGAAACAACAAUGAGACUCUGAAGUCAACUAUUGCUACUAUGGGUGGCAGAAUCCAAUAACACCCAUAAUGGUAGCUCUUCAGCAUGUUGUGGAAUUUUCAUUCUGGGUUUCCCUUCAGAUAGUGAAAUGCAUGGACGAUCCCUAUACAAUGCUGAUAUUGGGACUUAUACCUCAACUUUUAACUCAACACUUUUGCCCCUGAACAUUUUCAUAUAUUGCAAUUACAUCCAUGACCGCUAUAAAAAAAAAACAACUUUUCCCUAUAAACUGACCUUUUUAAACAUACUUCAAGAUCACAAAAAUGGAGAAGUCAUUUUAUGAAAGUUACAGGAAAGACCUGAUUUUUUUCUUCAUUUAGUCAGGGAUAAUAUUGCAAUAUAAAGAAAAUUAAGGGAAUUAUUUAAACCAUGCAUCUGGCUCUAAGCUAUCAGAUUGCAUUCAAACUUGAAUCUGGUGAGACACGAGAUGAAAUAUGUCAAACAAGAAUUUGAGGUUUGGAUAACCUUCACAAAGAGGGUGCUAGGUGCCAAUAUAGAGUAUGCAUCGACUCCAUUAAGAUAAGCUUUAACUUCAGGUAUCCCUGACCCAGCUGCUGCAGGGGCGACAUAAGCACAUAGUGCUGCUGCUGCUGCUGCCAAAAUUAAGUUGCACCCAGCAUAUACAGCAAAUGCUUCCUGAUAUCUGCACUGAAACCACACAGUAAUUACAUGGACACAUCCUACAGGGGUAAUUAUUAGAAAAUCACGAUGCGCACAAUUUUUUUUACUGCUUUGCUCAGAUCACAAAAUUGCAGAACUUACGAAUGCAAAGAAGUCUUCAUCUAGUGGUUUAAGUUUUCUAAAUAACCCAUUGCCAUUUUGUUUGCAAAUGUUUCAGAAAUGAAUAGAGAGCACACCAUCUUUCUUAAAAUAACUAUGGCAAAUAUGUAUGUAUGGAAACAACCAAAGAGCAAAAUGGUAAAACCGUCAAAAGAAAUAGAACAAAAUGAAAAAUUCAACAACACCCAUAAUGAAGUGCAUAUUAGUGGGCUAUAUGAUGUCACUUUGUGGAGAGGAAGUGAGGUCGAAACUUACUUAUCCUUCAGCAUUAGAUUACUUGUUAACAACAACUUAAAUCCAGCAAUGUUUUCAACUGCAAUGUUGUUGAAGAAGCCAACUAAUCCAGUAGCCAAUCCUAUAAGGAGUGCAAGCGUCCACUUGAGGAUUAUGUAUUGAAAUAUCUGAACUUUUUUUCUUGAUCUCCAGUCCUCUUUAUAAAGAUCAUUCUCAACAAUCCUGAAAGGUAAGUGUAAGUUCAGAUUAAGGAGGUCAUAAGACGUCAGAAGAUUUUAAUACUGCUGAAAAAUGCCAUAUGUAUAUCAAGCAACAAAGGUAGGAAAUCUUGAGCAAACUCACAAAUUUCAACCUAAUUCAGAACUCACGAAGCUAACAAAGGUAUGGAUAGUUUGAAACUUUAAACAAUUGAGCAGGAAAAAGUAUACAACUAAAUAUGCUACAUGAGUAACAAAUUUAGAGAAUAAAUACACCAAUAUCAUUAUCUAGCUAGAUAGUGACACAGAAAUCUACAUACACCCGUUACAAAAUCAGACACGUUAAUAAUAAUGUAUUUAUUGGACCACAUCCUAGCAAGUUGACAGAAGAAUAGAGCUUUUCUGCUAGAAAUAAUCUAAUAAUAUAAUAGUUAUUUUUAGAGCAAAAUGAUUCUUUGUCUAUUAAUCUAUAAAUUACAAAUUAUACGUUAAAGCCAGAAACAGCUGACUAGAAAAGAUAGCUAUCUAAUACUUUAGCUUUAUUCUCUCCAACACAAAAAAAGAAGAGAAUACUUUAGCUUUAUCCUUUUCUGAGUAACUAGAUUUUUUCUUGAGUAGCCUAUCCUUUUGGUUUAGCAAAUAAUGGGAAUAAAAUUUAAGAAGACAUUUUCAAGUCUAAUUUUAAUUAACUCUGAUGGAACUCAAUAGUCAAAACAGGACACAAGAAUAAAAGUUUAAAAUAAUGUUCAGAAACAAUGGAUGGAGAAAUAUGUGCUGGUGCACUGCUAUCUCAUUGUCCUUUGUAGCUAGGAUAUAUUAUAUAAUAGAUGUGUUUGUUUAUUUCAUAUGGUUACUUAUGUUCUCUGAUAAUUAAAACAGAUAAAAAUUUAAAGAAUAGCAAAGACGAGUAUAAUUGUGGAAACUGAAAUUUUUGCACCAAUAUGAGAAACCAUAGCAAUCUUUAGUGAUUCGACAACAGCACAAAUGUAGAUAGAAAAAGCUGAAAUUUUGUGGCAUAAUAUAUUGCCUGGAAAAGCAUAACAAUCUCAUUCCCUUCAACAAAGAAACAAUGCGUGAACCAAGCUUCAGUAUCAUGCCGAAUACGCAUGAUCUUAAGGUAGUGUGUGUACAAAACCUUGAACAUUAUAAACAAAAUUACAAACCAGGAUUCAUAUUUCUAUGCAACAUAGGACUAAAAGUAAAAAAACUGUAUCAAAAACUCCCUCAAAUAUAGGCCAGUUCAAAACAGAUCCCUAAACUUUAUUUUUCCUAUUGACACACUCUAAACUUUUGUUUGUUUUAAUUUGAAUAAUUUUUAAAAGAUAACUUAGGGAUUUCAGAAAAAAAAAUUAGCAUUUUUAGCUGACGAAGCCGCAGAUUUCGAUAACAGUCGACACCCAACAACAAUGAGACCACGGAUUUUAACAGAAGCCCAAAUAUCAACAAACUUCGCUCAAAAUGAGAGAAAGUUGAGGAGGUGCCGAUCCAAAAAUUUUUUUGAUUUUUGGAUCUUAAUUCAAAAUUGUGAAUAGUUGAGGGGGUGGUUCUCCAUAUAUUUUUCAAUCCAAAUGGCAUCUAAACAACCUAAUAACGAUCAUAAUAGAAACGAUAGUGCAUUAAAAAAAAUUUAAAAAAAAAAACAGAGGCAAAAAUGGGAAACUGGGGGGUAUUGAUCCCGACUCAUAAUCCAAGCUCUCGAUGGGGCAAAUGUUGGAUCCAACAAUGGCGAUCUGCGAGGUGGUGUUGAGGGUUCUCCGCCGCAGCAGCGGCUCCCUCAACGCCGCCUCCUCCUCCGCCGCCGCCGCCGCGUCGCCAUCGAAGCUCGACCCUCCCCUCUCCAUCGUCGCCACCUCUUCGNCUCCUCUCCCUCUCCCUCUCCCUCUCUCUCUCUCUCUCUCUCUUUCUCUCUCUCUCUAUAUAUAUAUAUAUGGAGGGGAUUGGUUUAUAAAGGAUGGGAGGGGACUUCGCCCGCGCGAUGCUUGUUCGUAUUAAUAUUAAUAUAUAAAAAAUACCUAAAAAUAGAAAGGAUUAGUGAGUAAUGAUAAGAGGGAUUAAAACUAAUCAGAAAAGGGGUAAAUGUAUACAUAGUCCCUGUACUAUGACAAAAUAACAACUCGGCGCCAACACUUCUUAUGUAAGCAUUUCAGUUUUUGAUUUUUUUUUAUAAAAAAAAUACAAUUGUUAAUAAACUAUUGGUGAUUAAUGCUGAAAAAAAAAAUGCAAUAUAUAUGACAUUUUAAAAAAUUAAAAUGCUUAAACUAAAAGUAUAAGAACCAAAUUGCCAUAUGUUCUUGGAUUAAUUCAAAAUAUAUGGAUAGGCCCUGUACUGUACCAAAUUCUAAAACUUUUAAAAAAUCUAAUUUUUUUUCAUAAAAAGCUAUUUUAUCCUUCUAUAUAAAUAAUUUACUAAUGAUUAAAACUGAAAAUAAAUGCAAUAUACGUGACAGUUUAAAAAUUAAAGUAUUUAAUUUAAAAAUCAAAUUUCCAUAUAAAUAUAGUAUAGGGGUCGCCAAAAUGUUUUGCCUAAAAAUAGAAAGGAUUAAAGAUUAGUAACAGAGGGAUUAAUUAUAAAUUUAUGAGGACAAAGUUGCCAUAAAAACACAGUAUAGGGACCUACAAUGUGUUUUAUACGUGAGGUUUGUUUAAGGGUUAAUAUUUUGUGGCUUUAUUGUUAUGCUGUUUAAUAAAAAACUAUUGAGUAUACAUGCAAAUGCACGUAAUAAGUAUUUUAAUAACGAUUUCAAAUUUAUAUGGAUUUGUACAUUAUAUUUAUUUAUUUAAAAAUUUGUAAUAUAAAAUUUAAAUUUAGAAAGUAACUUUAUUUAUUAUAUACUAUUAAAAAAUAUCUAUUAUAUUCUAACACAAAUUUAAAUAGUUGUUGCAACAAUAAUUAUAUAAUCCUAUUUUUUAUUUUAUAAUAUGUAUAUAUAGUGUAGAUAUAGAUAUACAUUAAAUAUUCUUCUAUAUUUAAUUCUAAUAAAUUUAAAAUUUAAAUAUAUAUUUAAACUAAAUUAAAUGUAUUAAUUAGUUGAAGAAAAAAGAGAAACUAAAAGUUUUUUGGGAAAAAUCUGAGUUUUUUUUUAAAAAAUUUGUAAAUAAUGCUAAAUCGUUUUAUUGUAAUUUCAAAUCUAGUAAGUAAGUUUAUGCUUUAUAAUUAAUGAUAAAACUUUAUAAUUUUUCAGCUAUUUAUUAUUUUCUCUCUCCAUUUUAAAAAAAUUUAGAAAUAUUUAAUAAUAUUGAGUAAGAUAAAAAUAUUAUUCUUUUAGAAUAUAUAAUUCUUAUAGAAAUUAAUGUGGAAAUAUAACUAAAUAACUUUUAAAUUUGUAAAACUUUUAAAUUUAUGGGGUAUUUACAAAAGUUAAAAUUAUUACUAAUAAUUAGAACAUUUAAAAGAGCAAUUAUGAAAAGGGUAAAAUCGGUAUUUUGAUUGUUGUUACUGUAGAUUUUAAUAAAAAUGUGUUUUGAAGGGGCAUUUGAAAUAUUUCAACUUUUAUGGGGGCAUCUAUGUAAUAUUAAAGGUUAAUUUUAUACAGAUUCCUAUAAAUAUAGUGAAUAACAAAUAUAUCCCUACAAAAUUCAAUUUUCAUAUGUUAUCUGCAAAAGUCCUGAUAUUUUUAAAUAUGUUCCUAUGCUUUGUUAUCGUUAGAGAACUAUUAGAGAAUUGUUUAUAUUUUCAAUUUUGCCAUCACAAAUAUGUUCCUCCAAAAGGCAUAACAGUAUUAUAUAAGAGGGAUAAAAAUAUCAAAAAUUAAUCAGGAUUAAAUAUUUAAUCAAUGAUUAACUAAAUUUUCCUAACGGAUUCUAACGACAGAAACAUAUUUAAAAAUAUUAGAACUUUUAUAGAAACAAUAUAUGAAAGUUGAACUUUGUAAAGAUAUAUUUAUCAUUCACUGUGUUUACAGGUAUCUGUAUGAAAUUAACCCUUAUAUUACAGGCGCACAAAACACAAUCUUUUUGUAAUCUGUAAGUUAGUUUAUACAAAAUUAUGAGUGUGAAAAAAUUAAAAAAAGAUAAAAAAAAAUAUAAAAAAAGGUGUAACAAAAUGGGCUACGUGGUUCAGUUGGGAGAUUUUGUCCCAUAAAAAAUUAUUAUUUGAACGGCUGUGAUCUAGCCCCACCAAGUACGUGGGAGGAAUCAAAACGGUCCCACUAAUUAUUAAAAAUAUUAUAAACAAUGUAAUACUAAUUAAUUAUGCGUAGAUAAAGCAGAACCUAAAUUGUAUUAUUUUCACAUAUUAAGAUAACCUUUGACCAUUUAUAUUUAUUUAUAUAUACAUAUAUAUUAUUAUAUUAUAUUAUAUUUUUUUUUUACUUAUGAAUUGAGAAUGGAGAGUUUUCUGACCCGCCACGUGGCGGGUGGACGCGAGGGGGUGNNNNNNNNNNNNNNNUUUAAAUGUAAAAUUUAAAUUUAAAUUUAUUAUUAAUGAUUUUUGAAUAUGUUGCUUAACUUUAUAUAUUUAGUUAGUAUAUUUUAUGUAAUUAUUGUAAUUAAAUAUAUUUUAUAAAAACUUAAUUGUAGUGUUUUUUAUAAAAAUAGAUUAUUUAUAUUAAAUAAUUAUAAAAUUAAAAUUAAUAUUUAAUACAUACAAUCUAAAAUAUUUAAAAAUUAGGCAUAAAUAAUUAUAUAUUUUAAAAUUUUAUUAUAAUUAAAAUACAAACUUAUGAAUUUACAAUCUGAACCCAAACGGGAUGUUAAGAUCAGCAUUAUUAUUUGUAAUCAAAACUUGCAUAUCCGAUAUAAUUGAUCGCAUGUAAAAAUGUCUUUAAAACUUAUUUAUUUAAUUAAGUAAAAUAUAUUGUUAUUUACUUUAUAAAAAAUAUAUUUAAUUAUUUAUUAAUUAUUUAUAAAGAAGAUAAACGGGUUUCUCAACUAGUUAUAGUUUAUUUUACGUUUCCUUAAAAAAAAAAAAUCUUAGAUACAAAUGUAUUGAGAUCCCCUCAAUUGUGCGUUAUUACGUAUUAGGUCCCUUAGUUUUUUUCUAUUGACAUCUUUUAACUCCUUAACUAUUGUUUUGUUUAAGUUUAGAGUUUAUUACAUUAAAAAUUUUGCUUAAUAGACCUAUUUACUAAACAGCUAUUAAUCAUUAAUUAUUAAUUUUUGAUAUAAAAUGAUUAACGUAAUUAAAUUUGAUGAAAUUGCUGACAAAUUUAAUUUGUAAUAGUUGAGGGGAUCUCCGUACAAUUUUACCCUUAAUUUUUGAAUAAAAGGUUACAUCCUAUCCAUUCCCCUUAUUUGAAAAGUGUGAUGGUUCAAUCUAAUUUUUUUUUUUCCUUCAAAAUUUCAAAAUCAAAUAAAAAAAAAUAAAAUGUAAAAACUAAGAAAUAAAAUAACAAUAAUGAAGAUUAAGGAUUCCUAAUCAUGAUUAGGUCAAACUAAUCAGUUUUACCUUCUAAUGAAGGAAUUAGCACUUGAACAAAAACAGUGAUUAGAGCCCACUUGAAAUUUUAAAAUUUUUUUACAAAACAACAAAGGACAAUAAAUAAAAGCACCAUUCUAAACCAAGGACUAUAAUAUAGGAAAGAAAUAUAAUAGAAACAAUAAAGGUUAAUUUCAUUUGUAACCUCACAAAGCUAUGAAAUAUCAUAAAUACCCUUCAAAUUUUUAAAAUUUCACAAAUAUUUCUCUAAAUAUAAUAUUUUUUUUAUAAAUACCCUCACUGUUAAUUUUUGCUAACUUCCGUCAAUUUUUAAAAAAUUCCAAUCCCUGCUGGUUUUUUUAUUAUUUUCUCCUUAAAAAUCUUACACUUAUUUAUAUAUAUAAAAAAAUCAUCAAAACGAGCUCGGCUUGAAAUUAAUUUCGAAUCUAAAUUUAGACUCAAACUCGACUUGAAAUUAAUUUGGAUCAAGUUAGAGCAAGACUAAUCUCGAACCAAGCUAGCUCAAGCCCUAAACGAGCUGCUUAAAAUUUUUAAUAUCAUGCAUCCUAUAAUUUAACUUUUAUGAAAUAUUGUUUAAAGACUCGACAUAAAAAUAUGCGUGAUAGUCCGAUCUAUAAAAUAAAUAUAUAAAAUAUGGUACAAUAAUAUUAAGAAAAAUAAUUUAUGAGUUGAUAUAUGUGACGUUGCAACGAAUGUACACUUUUAUUUGUGUUUUUAUUCCAGCCCUAUAAAAUUUUUAUCCACCCUUUGUGACGCUUCGCUUUCUAGGAGGUUAUCCAUUCCAAAACUACAUCAAAUCUAGCAUGCUUAAUCCUCUUAAUUUCUUGGAGUUAAGAAGUUUAAUUCUAUUAUAUUUUAUAUUCAGGACUAUUUAAAUUCUGGGGUCACAUUUCUUCCCCCCACUUCUUGAUUGUUCUCGUCAUGAUCAAGUAUACUCACAAGCACUAGACAAUGCGAGACUCGUCAUGCUUCUUAGCGAAUCUUGUGAGAGCAAUGCUCAGUCCACAACGAUCGUCAACUGGGGAGCCGCACUCUACUCACCGUCCUAGCUUAGCCGAAAUUCAUCUCACAGUUCUAGCUGGUAAUUGGCUAUGAUAUCAACUAAGACGCCCUGCUUUUGAGGGGGUUACCGAUCCUAAAACUAUUCUAGUUAACAUAACCCUUUUAAACUUUUGGUCAUAGCUAUCGCUCAAAAUAUUAUAGCUGUGUUAAAAGGUUUAACUAUAUUAAUCUUAUAUAGGACUAUUUAAAUUAUGGGCCCUUGAGCCCAUGUUGGGCUUUUCAUGUCCAUAUUUUGUGGAACAGGCUUUGUAGAAAUUGGGCCUAGCCCAUUUAGUACAAUAAUAAAAUUAUGUUGGUAAACUCUAUGACGAAUGCUUGAUCUAUUCAGUUAAAGCGUACAGAUACAGCGCCCACGGGUCUCGAUUGUUACUCGGCCGAUCCAGCCUUACGCCACUUCGAACAUGACUCAGCUCAACUCGGCCUCACGCCAUUUCGAUCGUGACUCGGCCGGCCCAUUUGGCCUUCCGCCACAGGGCAGGAUACUAACCCAUUUAAGCGAGCACUGCACAAAUUCGCAGCAUAUAGCAAUCGAAUCUAUGACCUCUGGCUCUGAUAUUACUCGUCGAAUCGUUGGUGCUAACUAUUAAUCCCAAAAGCUCGAACUGUUAGAAAUACACAACUAAUUUAUUUUAAGCGUAGAGAUACAAUGACCACGGAUCUUGAUUGUGACUUGGCUCAUUCUUGACGCUUAUUCGGCCCAUCUACGCGGUUGAUUUCGAAAUUCAUCGUCUUGUAGAUUGCGGUUAGAAAAGCUUUUAAUUUUAAAAUUACUGUAAAUUGCAAUAACUACAGUGGUGAUGUGUACCGCACCGUAAAAUAAAGUUUCGAAUAAACUAUUUUUAUAGUAGCAGGCUACAUAAUUGUGGAGUAUAAUUCUACAUCGGAUGCAUGGGUGAAAAAUUAUGAAUAUAAAACUACGAGGAUCAUAAAUUUUAGGAUUAAAUGCAUACAGAUUCCUACAAAAAUAAUGAAUUGCAAAUAUAUCUCUAUAAAGUUUAAUUUUUAUAUAUUGUCUUUAUAAAAGUUCUAAUAUUUUUAAGUAUGCAUAUCUAUCUGAUUUGUUACUGUUAUGAAACUAUUAAUAUUUUAAGUGAAAUAUCAAUUUUGCAAUCACAAAUAUGUCACUUCAAAAGUCACAAUAGUAUAAUAUAUAUAAGAGGGGCAAAAAUAUCAAGUUAUCUCGUAAACUAAUUAUAAUUAAGUAUUUAACCUAUGGUUAACUAACGUUUUCUAACGGAUUCUAAAGAUAGGAACAUAUUUGAAAAUGUUAGGACUUUUAUAGAGACAACAUAUAUAAGUUGAACUUUGUAGGUGUAGUGUUCCUGAGCUUUGGAUAGGAUUGACUUCAGUAUUAUAGACUGGUCGACAUCUCUGGAGAGUGUCGGACUGAGUCGGAGUCAAUUCUGCACGAAUUGGAUGCAGAAUUGGACUCGGCGCACUCAAAUAAGCAAAACUGGAGUUUUGCCAGAUUCGGGCGCCCAGAACAUUGUUAGGGUCGCCCAGAAAUGAGUGUUGAAUUUAUUUGAAACUGGAAGCCAAUUCGGAUCCUAUGUUCCGGGCGCCCAGAAGUGGGUCCGGAAAUUCCACCUCGUGAAUAUCGCUUGCUUCGACGCGUGGCAGGGUGGUAGGUGAGCUCCGCCGGAGCCGUUUACGGGCGCAGCACACCGCGGGCGGAGAGACCGAAGGGCCCGGUUUGUGCAGUCGGGAUGUUCUGGUCGCCCAGAACAUGGUUCCGGGCGCCCGGAAAUGCCCGUUUCUGCAGGGACACUGGAUAGCAGCUUGAGUUCCUGAGGCUUUUUGGAUCGUUCUAACUCACUAUAAAUACUUGGUAAGCGUCCCUUUGCUGCUCUUUUCUUCCCUCCUUCACAGAGAAACCCCUCUUAGCCUCUCAAACCUCGGAUUUGCUUCAAAUUGCAUCGAGUUCCAUUGAUCCAGCUUGAUGGUGUGCUGAUUCUGCAGUUCUUCAGCGUCGACCUCCAGUGUUUUGACUUGUGUGCGACGUAGGAAGAUCGGAUCUCGACGAAACUUGGUUUGCUGGAUUCUAGACUUCCAGAGAAAUCCACGAAGCCAUGAUUCACAGAAUUUGGUGAAGGUUAGCUCAGUCGAACUCAAGUUUUUCUCUGCUGUUGUUGCUGUGGGCAGAUUUGUAAGUUUUUGAGUUCUUUUUGGGGUGAACUUUGGAAGCAGGGGCUUUGUGGAGUUGAGUCACGUUCACCAUCACCCAGCACUGGAAUGGGGACCUUCUUCACCUGAUUUGGAGUUCAUUAGGUGAGUUUUGACAUUGAGAUUAGGACAUUUAAGCUUAAGUGCUGUUUUGCUGAAUUUCAUCGUCGACUGUUAGUAUUUCAGCUCGUACUCGACGUAGGAGCAUCGGAUUUCGUCGAGACUUAAUUCGUUGGUUUCGGGACUGCGAGAAGAAUCUACGACGUCCUUACUUGUGGAUUUUGGUGAAGUUUAGCUUGGUCGAAACCCUUCUCUUCUCUGCUGCUGUGUACUCGGACUGAAUUGUGGAUUUUGAUGAUUUUUAUUGGAUUUUUGGGUGCAUUGUAAAUCCAGAUCUUAAGGGGCUUUGUUGCUGGUUUGAAGAGGUUUCCAGCAGUGUUGCUUGAGGAUCCGAGACCCUAUUGCUGCCAGGAAUUGCAUUAGAGGUGGGUGUUUCAUCGGUUUCGCUCCUAAGUGCAUGUUAGUCAACGUGUAUAGUUCGAGUGUUGUAAAUCAUGCUUUAAUUCAUCGAUUAGCAUUUUGAAUGUAAUAUGAAUGUAGAAGCAUGCUGAAAUGAAUAUUUAAAUUAUACAUGUUGGACUUGAAAUUUGACUUAGGAGAAAACCUGCGUUUUGACCCGUCAUAUACUUAAACUACCAGAUUUAGCUCUAGGAGCCGUGUUCGAUUGUAUCGUUGCCGAGUCAGUGCAAUGGAUACCUUGGGUAGUUUAGAAUGUAUUUACACUCGUGCUGGUUCGCCGAGUGGAUUUUUACAGGGUCGUUCAGGUCGUUUCGGACUGUUGGGUGCCGUCAGAGUUGACGGUGGACCCGUAUCGCCUUUUUGGCGUCAGAUUGUGCCGAGGGCACGUUACCUGUUGGUUGUUAGACCAGUUUGAGUCGAUUACUUGACUUUGGCUAGUUGGAGCCUGAUUGAGCUCGACAGAGAUACGCUGCAUACUCGGUUGGGUAGCGCCCACGAGUGCCACUCCGGAGUCAGGCUUUGUGCUUUCGCGUUGGUGUCGCUCAUGCCGGUUGGACUUGCUCUCCACGGACCAGUUGUGUGGAUAGAGCCUGAUAGUUGCAACUGGGCAGGGACGGGUGUGUUCACAGUCCCAGGGACGGGUAUGUCUACAGUCCCGAUUGGAUUGGGUCAGAUUUGACAUUUCCUACAGUUGGUUAGUGUAGAGCAUGAUAGUAUAGUGAUUUGUAGCGGUUGAGUUUAUUUCCUGCUUUUCCUACUAUUCUUGCUCCCUUCUGUAGACUUAGUGGGUGGACCGAUGUUGUUUUGGGCGGUACCCACUGAGGACUACUUGUUUUUAUAGUAGUUCUCACGCCCAGUUGUUACCCCUGUUUUGCAGAGCCACAGGUUUCGGCUACUGCGCCGUCUGCGGACCAGGAUCGAGGCAAGGGCGUCGCGAGUUAGAGCCCUACCCGACGUGCUGAGCUAGAGGUGCCCCUACUGCAGGUAGAUGUUUUGUUUCGAGUUUAUGUACAUAGUGGACCUAACUCGCCAGUGCGAGUAGCUUUGUAUUUUGGAUUUGGACUAUGUAUAUGAAACUCAGCUGGUUUAGUUUCUGUUUUCUCUAGCAGCUCCCUACUACUGUUCGUAGUAGUGUUUAAUUUACAGGUACAGCUAUCGCUUCGUAUACAGGGGAAAUUCCUUUGUAUACGGCGGAUUUGUCGGCGUGCCCGGGGAAAGUGUAAUCCGGGGCGUGACAGUAGGGAUAUAUUUGCAAUAAACUAUAUUUGUAGGGACCUAUAUGAAAUUAACUUUAAAUUUUAAUACUAAUAAUUAAGUUUAAACACUUAAGUCAAUAAUUUAGAAUCUCACGAGUUAUUAUUGUUAGUAGAGCCGGAGUGUUGUAAAGAGCCUCCAACCACAAAUUGAUUCUUUGUAUUCUUGUUGAUGAAAAGUUGCAAUACCUUUCAUUACCCAACUUCCAUAAAAGAGAUUUAAAGAGCAUACAAAUAAAUAAUGUCACAAAUCAAAGGCCUAUACUUCCAUAAUAGCCAAAUAGAUAAGUUAAAGAGUAUGGGUCCAAGAACCAUAUAAUAAUAAUUAUUACAAAAUCAAGUCAAUAAAAGAGAUUUUUGAAUAGGUCACAUAGCAAUAAUAGAGUAUAUUGACCAAGACUUAGUCAAAAAGGAAACCAUGUAGACUAUGUAUGGAAUUGAUGUGCACUUCUACUUGGUCGGUCACUUGAUAACACUUCAACAAAGGAUGAUUGAAUACAAUAGUAAAAUAAAUAUAUGUUGUCAAUUUCCUAGCGUUUUAUUUCGGAGGCCCUAACUGCUUCCACAUUAUACGUUUAGUUCAUUUUACUUAAUGAAUGACAUAGAUAGUUUGCUACCUCUUUCUCAAAAAAAAAAAAAAAAAAUCCUAGCGUUUUUAUGUCGCGUCUUGAACCUAUUAAAAAGUCUAGAGUCGAAGUGUUACGUACGGUAAGUGUUGAGCAUAAAUUAUAAAGAUAUGGUUUUCUGAUAUAUAUAGCUUAAUAUGUUAGAAAUAAAUAGUUAUUGAACAAUGUUGAAUAACAUAGCCAUUUUAUUUUUAUCCUCUAUAGUGUAAUAAUUCUGUGGGAAUUAAUAGUGAGUUUGACAAAAGAAGAAUCAGAAAUAAAGAAAGCUCUCUUUCAUGUUGCCUUUAUUUUUUUAAUUUUUUUUCUAAUUACCGACCGUCCCUAAAGCAAGCGACAAAGGACUUGAUGGUUGGUAGCCGAGACCCAAGUUCGAAUCCUAGUUGAUUCACAUUUUCAGCUAAGUUUAUUUCUAAAUGAAAUAAACGAAGUUGGUAACAUGCUAUCUGUCUCUCAAAAAAAAAAUUUUUUUUCUAAUUUUUAAUUUAUAUAUAUAUUUUUAGUGAUAUAUAUCUCUUUCAGGUGCUUCUUAAGCAGCUAAAUUUUCAUUGUGCACCUCUCGAUUUCAUUGCUAGUAAAAUAAGAAAAAAAAAAUGAAAAUCAAAGAUUGGGCAAUGCUCUAUAUAUCCACUAUAAAUUUUUAUAAUUUUAUUAUUCGCAUAUUAUUAUAAGUUAUUACAACCAUAUGUGAAUACUCUAUUAUAGUUUAAACCAAUAAAUCCACGUUUUAAGCAUAGGAGAUAAUUCCUCGAAGCUUAUUAUCUUACUUGAUUUAAGUAUCUUAUUUUAAGUAUAUUAUUUAAAAAAUAUUAAAAAAUAUAUAAAAUAUAUGUUGCCAUACAUUGAGAGCCACCCCAUGCAGAUACGUAAAUUAACUGUCCAUUAAAUACAAUAUACAAAUUUUAAAACAGUAAUAAAUAGUUGAUCGAACAGUAUACUUUGGUUCUUAAAAUUUAAUAUAUUAUAAUUUUUAGCUCGAAAUUUUUAAAUUAUUACAAUUAAAUCUCACAAUCCGAUUUAGUUGACUAAAUAUUGACAAAUUAUUUUAAUACAGAAGUCAUGCAAUAUCUUAAUUUUUAUUACAUCAUGGAUAAUACUUUCACAUCUCUUAUACAUUAUCAAUUGGGUUAAUUUCAUACAGGUCUUUACAAACAUAGCGAAUUACAAAUAUAUCCCUACAAAAUUUAAUUUUCAUAUGUUAUACCUUUAAAAGUUCUAAUAUUUUCAAAUAUGUUCCUAUCGUUAGAAUCCGUUAGAAAACUUUAGUUAACCAUAGGUUAAAUAAUUAACUCUGAUUAGUUUAUAAGAUAACUUGACAUUUUUGCCUCUCUUAUAUUAUACUAUUAUGAUUUUUGAAGAGAUAUAUUUGAUGGCAAAAUUGACAUUUCACUUAAAAUAUAAAUAGUUCUAUAACAUUAACAAAUCAGAGAAAUAUAUUUGAAAAUAUUAGAACUUUGUAGGGACAACAUAUGAAAGUUGAAUUGUGUAGGGAUAUAUUUGCAAUUUACUAUAUUUGUAGCGAUCUGUAUAAAAUUAAUCCUUAUCAAUUUGUCAAUAUUUAACUCACUAAAUUGGAUUGUACGAUUUAAUUAUAAUAAUUCAGAAAGCUUGAGUCAGAAAUUACAACAAAUUAAAGUUUAAGUACCAAAUUGUUACCAAACUUGCAGUUUGAGGACCAAAGUGUGAUUUAUCCUAAUUUUUAUUUUAUUUUAUUUUAUUUUAUUUUAUUUGGGUGGAGCCCAAAACCUAACUUGUAUUGCUUCUUAUUAUCCAGUUGGCAAUGCCUCAUUGGUUGGGAGAGGCAUAUAUAUAGCCGUUGAACCCACCCUACUUAAUUAACAGCUCACAUCCAUCUAAUUUCAAACACAAAACAAAAUUAAGUACCCAACUCCAACAGAUAUAUAGAGACCACUCCAACAAAAACAAAAAAAAUUAAACUAUUGCCUGGACCUGGUGUACUAUAUCGACUCAAAUACUCUUUUCAGAGGCCAUUUCGUUUCUUACAACCGUGUAUACCGUAAAAAUUAUACAUUAGAUAUGCAUAAAAGCUCCAUUUAAAAUUACAAAAAAUUACUAUUUAUGCGACGAGAAAGUACAAUUAAGGAUACUUUAUUUUUUUUGCAUGUAAUAAUAUAUUUUACAUAUUAUAAUUAGUUGGCUGAGAUAUAUAUUUUAUAAUUUUAUCGAAAAACGAAGAAUCAUGUGUCCUAAUUAGUUAGAUAUGCAACAACUAUAUUCUUAGAAGUUGUACUUAGAAUUUUUUAGCUUGUUCAUAAUUGCGUGCGUAAAUACAAAUCGAAUUCAAAAGCAAAGCAAAAAAGGCCCUUAAAAACCCAAAUUUUAACUUGUCCGGUUCAUGGUGACGUGGUAGACCUGGUACACGGAUUAUGAAACGUUCCAACGGUCAAAAAUAAUCAAACUUAAGAGCCGUUAAACUAACACCACACGCGGCGUGUGUGGGCCCCACACACACACUUUGAUGCUGGAAAAAAUUCCCCCCCUCUACUAAAUCUCACACCAUUAUAACACCCACACAUUCACACCCACUAAUUAUAGGCCCCCAUUUUCUAUUUAGAUUUCAAAGGAAAAUUUAUAUUUAGAUCCCUAAAUUUUUGUAAAAAUUCUAGGAAAACCAAAUCUUAUAACCACUCAUUUUUUAAGGUAAAUUUUAAUAUAUAUAUAUAUAUAUAUAUAUAGUUGAGCUGGAAUGCUAUCGGUAGCAAACCGGCUCCGUUGCCACCCAUUUGUUUUCGAUGGUGGAGCCUUUAAAUCGACGAUCGGCACCGUUGAACAUGAUCUAUACCACUUGAAGUAUUUAGAAAUCAAAUUUCAAAUCUUUUCGAUAUCAUUGACCUAAUGAUCAAAGAGUUUCAAAAUUUGCAAUUUUAAUGGUAGAUAUGAGGUAUUUUCUCGUUUAACGGUGUAAAGCUAUCUAAAUCAAUUGAAUUUUGGUUAGAAAAUUCUUUAAACUAUUUAGAAUAAGAUCUAUACUCCCGAUCUUGAUUACAAAAUUCGUAUUAUCACUUUUUAGGGGAUAUUCAUUUUCAGCCGUUCAUUUUUACGCCAACUUAAUGGACAAGAGAAUAAUAUUGGAAAAAUAUGAAAUUUGAUUUUUAGAUACUUCAAGUGAUAUAGAUCAUAUUCAACGAUGCCGAUCAUCGAUUUGGAGGCUCCAUCAUCGAAAACAAAUGGGUGGCAACGGAGCCCGAUUGAUAUCGACAGUAUUCUAGCUCAACUCUCUCUCUCUCUCUCUCUCUCUCUCUCUCUAUAUAUAUAUAUAUAUAUAUAUAUAUUACAUCUAUAAAUCUAUAAAUCUAUAUGAAGCCACAAUAUUUCUUGCCACGUGGCAUAUUAUCCUUCAUUCUCAUAACCCAACUUUAAAUCAAACCACAACUCUUCACCUCGCUACUUCUCUAAUUAAUGCAAUGUGCAACAUUUAAUUAUAUGCAACUUUAAAUCCAACUUUAAAUCAAACCACCUUUUUCUCUUCUCAACGCCGAACCCUUCACCUCGCUGCUACUCUAAUUACAUGCUAGGUGCAACAUUUAAUUACAUGCACCAUAUUAAUAUUCUAUUAAUGAGUGAGCUUUGUAAUUUUAAUCCACUCCCCUCCUCCAUUAAUCUCUUACCCCUCUCUUUUGUAACUUUUUUGUAUGCACCAUAAAAAAAAACAUCAUCGUCUAAUCUCCCACUCCACACUCAUCUCUCUCUUUCUCUUAUUGUGUUAACGAAGAUGAUGAGGAGGAAGAAGAAGAAGAAGAAGAAGAAGAAGAGCCUCUGAAGAACAUUGUCUCCUUCGAGAAGUAUCGCCUCGUGAAAUCGAGCUACGGCCCAUAUAAGUGCCCGCUGAAUCGAUCCGCGCGGGAGCUCCUGCUUAACAUGUGACUUUAGUCAUGCAAAUUGGUUGUACUUAAUAUGGUAUAAAUUUCUAUAUAUUAAUAAACUGUAAAUGUAAAUUUUAUUAAAAUUUUUAAACUUUGCUUCUAUUAACUAUCUGCUGCAUCGCGCGGGUCUUUACACUAGUAGUAAUGAAAUACAGAUUGUAAGAUGAUAAAAUUAUUAUAUUAUUGCUCUGUGGUUUGUAAGAUGUAUUAUUUUACUACCAUUUUUGCAGCGAGAUCAAAUAGUAAAAUAAAAAUAAAAUUAUAUAAUAGUUAAGUAUGGCAUUUUAAACCACAUUGUGAUAGAAUAAAAAUAUGCUAAACCACAUAGAGAGCAAAUUGAAGUUUAAAUAUGGUUUGCAUUUAGAUCAUGAUAUUAUACAGUCUUGUGGUUUGUAAAAAAGUAUCACUCUAUUAUACUUUUUUACACUGAACUUCUGAUGAUGAAAGAAAAAAAAUUAUAUAACAAAUUAAUUAUAACUUUUUAAACCAUAAAGUGACAAAAUAAAAUUAUGUUAAACCAUAUAAAGGGCAAAUUGAAGUUUAAAUAUGAUUUCAAGUUUUAAUUUUUUUUUUUUCGUAGAGAAGCUUUCUUAAGCAUCUAUGUAGUAACAUAAAGUCUGAAUUUUCUAGUAAUAGUUUUAAUUUUACAAAAAAUUAAAUCAGAAUCUCUGUAUUUUAGAUAAUUUUAGAGAAAUAUCUAAAUGUUUAUCUUUUCAAAUAAGAUCUUGAAUCUUAUGUUUUACUUCUGAUCAGAAUUUUCUGCUAAUAGCUUUAAUAUUUUUUUAUUUGGUGCGAUUUUGCUUUUGCUAUACAUGCAAAGUUUAUGAAGAUAAUAUACCAGCUAAAAAAAAACUGGGGACUGGGGUGAAAUUAUUUAGAAACUCACGGAUCUAUACAUAAACAACCGUUGGUUGGUUUGAUGGGCCCACAUAAAAUAAUUAGCUCUUGGUCACAUUUGAGGGUCACUUUUCGCCCUUCGCGACCGUUUCUCUCUCUCUCUCUCUCUCUCUCUCUCUUCUUUCUCUCUCCUCUCUCUCUCUCUAAAGAGAGGGAGGGGGGAGAGAGAGAGGUGUCGAUCGAAAGGUUCGUCGAUCGUUCGAUUACUUAACGCGUUUUCUCGUCUAGGGUUUGGGCGAUCGAUAGGGGGCUGUGUUAGUAUAAAAUCCCCCACUUUUCGCCCCCCUUUUCCUACUCAAUUUGGCCAAUUUCCGCGUCGAUUUCGAUUGGAGUUUUCCGGGAUUUGGCGCUGUCGAUUGGAAAGGGGAGGUAGAGAUUGGGGGAUUCUUCUUCAGUUCAAUUUCGUUUUGUUCUCUCUCUCUGUCCAUCGCAGGGGAUUUCGAUUUUGUACAAUUUUUGGAUUUUUUUAUUGGUUUUCAGGAGAAACUAGAUUUGGGUUUUGUGAUUUUGGAUUCGGUGAUCACUCUUUGGACGUCAAAAUCCGAUCUUUGUUCAUUUUUGUGGAGUUUCCGUAUUGUUAGGGUUUGUUUCAAUCUUCUUUGGUUGGUUUUUAAAAUCCCCAACCUAAAUUCCAGGGGAAAUUGGAUUUGGGUUUUGCGAUUUGGGACUCGGUGAUUACUCUUUUUGGUGUCAAAGUCUCAUCUUUGCCAUUCUUAGAGGAGAUUGGUAUUAGGGGUUUUCUCAAUCAAUUGCAAUUGAUUCUAAAGGUAUAUAAGAUCAUCAAAUAUGUGGAGUGAGAUGAAGCCCAUAUUGAAGAGCAAAUCUGAUGAUGAAGCUGAUUAUUUCCCGUCGUCUCCCCGAAAAGAUUGGUCCAUCAAUCUCAUGAAAUUCGUAUCGAUUUUGGUCAUAUUCAUGACCGGUUUGGCGAUCGGCCUAUCGCUAAGCGGCCACCUGAGCCGGUUCUACACCUCGCAGACCGAUCUCUUCUUCCCGCGCACCACGUACGCCGCAAGCUGCGACGGGGACUGCAUGAGCCUGCAGAAUUUCAUCAAACCCCCGCAUUUGAUCCAUUCGAUGAGCGACGAGGAGCUGUUUUGGCGUGCGUCGAUGGUGCCCAAAAUGGAGGAGUAUCCGUUCGAGAGGGUGCCGAAAGUGGCCUUCAUGUUUAUGACCCGCGGGCCUUUGCCCUUCGCGCCGCUUUGGGAUCGGUUCUUUAAGGGUCACGAAGGGUUGUAUUCGGUUUACGUGCAUACUCUUCCCGAUUACAGGCUUAAUGUGUCGAUGAGCUCGGUGUUCUUCGGCCGACAGAUCCCGAGUGAGGUGAGAUGUGGUCUCAGUUGCCUUUUCUUUCCGUGCUUAUUAAUAUUCGGCAAUUAGGGUACCCUAUGAACAUUAGAACAUUAUGCAUCUCCAGUUUCAUUUGCUAAUUCGACGAAAUCAUACAAUAAAUGCAUGACCUUGUUGUUUAAGAUGUAUAUGAGCAUUUAUUUCUUCAUAUAUCAGCUGAGUUCAAAACUUGAAUUGCAAGUAUUGUACAAAAUUCGAUGCAGCUAUGGUUGAUUAGAAGCACUUUUUUGGUUAAAUCUAUUUUGCGUUGUGUCUAAUAUCUUUAUCUUUUGUCGCGUAGGAAGUGUCGUGGGGAUCCGUGACGCUAGUAGAUGCCGAGAAGCGCUUAUUGGCCAAUGCUCUGCUCGACUUCUCCAACGAGCGCUUCAUCCUACUCUCCGAGAGCUGCAUUCCGGUGUACAACUUCCCCACCGUUUAUGAAUACCUUAUAAAUUCCGCGCACACGUUCGUGGAAUCCUACGACGAAAAUACCCCUCAAGGCCGCGGCCGCUACAGCCGCCGCAUGGCCCCUAAAAUCCAGCUCUACCAUUGGCGGAAAGGGUCGGAGUGGUUCGAGCUCAACCGCGAGCUCGCUAUCAACAUAGUGGCGGAGUACAAGUACUAUUCCCUCUUUAGGAAGUAUUGUAGACCAUCUUGCUAUCCCGACGAGCAUUACAUACCGACUUACUUGAACAUGUUCCACGGGUCUUUGAAUGCGAACCGGAGUGUGACGUGGGUCGACUGGUCGAGAGGCGGGCCCCACCCGGCCACCUACGGAGCUCCGAACGUCACGGUCGAAUUCAUCCGGGCUAUUAGAAACAACGGGACCUUCUGUAUGUACAAUUCGAGGCCGACUUCGAUUUGCUUCCUCUUUGCUCGGAAGUUCGCUCCUAGCGCCUUGGGGCCGUUGCUCAACCUCACGUCGACGGUGAUGGACUUUUGAUUGGAUCAUUCGUCGAACAAUCGUGGCCGUCGAGUUGCAAAGAUCACGCCAACGACCCCCGCAUCGAUCAACCAACGGAGAGAUAUCCUCUUUCCAUAAAUGGAUAGAGAUGGCUUUGGUGGCGGUUCCUUUUCGUAUUCCAAAGUUUGGUUACCAAAUAGCACCGAAGGCGCCACCGAGAGGGAUCUUCGAUUUGUUCUCGUGCUACAUUCUUUUUCUUUUCUUUCCAGUUUCAUUACUGUUCUGUACAAGAUGAUUUGUAUUGACUUGUUCAGAUACUAAUUUUUGUGAAUACCAACUCAUCAUUCAUUGCUUUGAUUAAACUCUCAGUGAGCAUCAGAUGCCGAUGAGGUUCAGAUUUUGGUAUCGAAUGCUUUAAGUAACAGGUUGGCACCGGCCGUCGGGUUGUCGCAGAAAUGUUUUCGGAUAUUUGAAGUAGGUAAUCUGGGCCUGGGAAUAUGCUAUUCCCUGUGACAAUCUUGCUGGAUAAGAAUCUUCAUGCUCAAAAUAAGAAAAAAAGAAAGAUAUCUAUAGCUUGAUUGGUGCUUGUUGUGUACACCAUCCUAUUAUGUGCUUGUUAUGAUUGCAUAAACCAAAUGAUUUGUUGCUAAAGCAGGCACCAAUAAUUUCAUUAUGAAAAAAUGACUUGAAAAUCGAAUAUGUUGUUCUAUCAUAAAAGAAAAUUUUCGCAUCAAAUAUAAUAUCGCCGAAUAACUUAUUCCGGCAUUCAAAGAAGCCUUACAUGAAUAAGGGAAAUUACUCUUUGUUGACUUGGUAUUUAAUAUCAUAUAUCAUACUAGAGUAACUCCUUUUGAUUUGUUCAAUAUGAUAAAGUUAUCAGGUAUCUGAAAGAAUAAAAGUUUCAGAAGAAACAAAGGAUGAAAGUGAUGUGUGUAUAUUCUAUGGGAGAGAUGCUCUCACGUUUUACCCUCUCUCAUCUAGGGACCCAAACGGAUCCGGGUUGGUGGAGCUCCUGUUUUUCGGGACAAUUUUUAUGAUCCGAGAUGAAUUCGGGGCAGAAAACGAAAAAAUUUUUGACCCGCCCCAAAUCUGCCUCGAAAAUUAUUUAUAUUUUUAAAAAAUGUCUCUAAAAAAAUAACAUAUUUACAAACAAGUUCAAAAUACAAAUAAAUUAGUGCUCUUAUUUCUCAUGUAUUUGAAACUUUUGAAUUCGAAUUGUAAUUGAUUUUUUCUUUUAAUUUUUGUAAUUGAUNGAUAGUAUAGUAAUAUAUAUAUAUAUAUAUAUAUAUAUAUAUAUAUAUAUAUAUUAUUAAAAUUUAUUAAUUUAUAUUUUAUAAAAUAUUAAUAAUAUUAUAAUUUUAUAAAAAAUAUUAAUUGGCGGGGCAAAUUCGGGGCGCUGGCAAGAGGCAGGUUACGAGGCAGCACGAAUUAUGGGUUAUAUUUUUUAAUCCAUCACGAAUUCAAGGCAGAAUUUGAUAGUCGAGGCGGGAGGCGGUGCGGGGCUCCUGCCCUCAGAUCCGCCCCGUUUGCAUUCCUACUUCCAUGUAGCAGUUAAUUACUUAAAACCUCCAAUAGUUUUAGUUCACACUUAUUAGGAAGCAUCAGAAGUGUGUCCUUUCACGUCUCACAGUAUUUCUAUUAGGGGCUACUUAAAUUAUUAAAUUUAAGUGAAGUUUAAAUUUAGAUUAAUGCCUAGAUUAUAUUGGUCACUUGAUAAUAUUGUUUUCGGUAAGUUGGAGGCUCAGUAGGUAGGGGAUCAAACUCUCAACUAACUGUGCUAGACAGUAGUGGUUCGAUCCCUAAUAGUAAUGCAAGAGAUCAAAUCCUUGUUGUCUGAGUUUGCAAUAAAAGUAUCAACCAAGUACUCUAAACAGUGGUGGUGAAUGAAUGAUUAGUCCAGUAGUAAAAUUACAUUGCCUCGCCUAAGGGCUAUUGGAUUUCGAGCCAAGCCCGUUAAGAAUAUUGCCCGAAAAUGAAUACGAUCCAAGUGUUGCUCGGCUUGCGGACCGUGGUUUGCGCCAGUUUGGGCUCAUUGGGAUUUUGUGUUUUUCGGGUUUUGGGUGGUUCAAGUUUUAGAUAGUCCGGAUCAUGGCUCGUCGCCUUUUCGGGUUGUUCGAGUUUCAGUUUGGGCUUGGAUUGCAUGCUAAUAGCUUUCGGGUCAAUUUGGGUUUCGAUCGAUCCGCUUGCUGAAUCGACCCGAGUAGGGUCGAUGUUGGCCCGUUUCCUGAAAAAGCCCAUGAAAACGGGUCCAUUAAGGGCCCAUAAGGUUCUCUAAGAAAACUUUGUUAAAAUAGGGUAUACCCUGUUUAAUCAAAAAAAGGCUCUCUAUUAAGAAAAAAAUACAUAGAAUUUUAAUUUCCUUUAGUUUAUGAGAACUUCUCUCUCACACAAACAAAAAAACACACUUUAGUGUUAAAUUAUAUAAAACAACUGUUAUUUUUCAAAACUUAAACUUCUAGGAAACAAUAUUUUUAUAUUUUUACUAUCUUUGUAUUGAACAUUUUUUCUCACGUCCAGGGGCUCGAGACUUUUUCGUAGGCCCAAAAAUGGAAGGAAAUAUAAUAAUGUUAGGUAUCCGGCGGAGCUCGAACUCAAAACCUCCUCAUAUUCUGAUGCCAUAUUAAAUUCUUAAAAAAAUUGAGUUUUCCGAGAACAAUAUUUUUAUAUUUUUAUAUUUUAUAUUCAAUAGGAAUAAAGAACAUAGGAAUGUACACAUUUAAUUCCUCACCUAAGAAAGCAUCAAUAAAGUUAUGACAUUGCCAAGCAAACAAAUAUCUUAUGAAUUGGGUAAAAGCAUUAUACUGCUUCUAAGCAAACUAGGAAAAUAGCAACUUCCAGAUUAAAUAGGCUCUAUUUUUUUUUUUCCCUUUUUAUUGAUAUCCCUCAAAUUAUUUUUCUAAAAUUGUUAAACCAAUUGAAAUUGUACAAAAAUCCUCAAAUCUUAUUAAUUGAAAGAACAAAAGAAUAAUAUUUACAGGAUUUGUUUAAAAAUGGCCUAUAGUUGAGGGGGUCCCUCCACAUUUUACCUUUCUGCAAUAAAUUCUGGUUGGUACUUAGCCUCAGCAAAGUGAAAGUUUUAAUACACCAAACCAACCUAAUGAAUUUAAGUAGUUUGCUUUUUUUUUUUAUUUAAAAAAAAAAACUAUAAAGAGAAAUAUCACCAACUCAUACUAUAAACAAAUAUGAAAUAUCCAUAUAUGUGACAAAUAAAAACUAUAUACAUAGUGAACUCUCUCAUGUGAGGGUAGUGAUAUUAACACGAUAAGUUCGCCUUUUUGAUAGGACAGAUACACUAAAGCCGGGCGCAUCUGCUCUGUCAAUAAUAAAACUGCUAUAUCCUCAUAUAUACGACGAUUCCGAAUAUUAACAGUGGAAGGAGAUUUCACAAAGCGAAACAAAAGAUAACAACUCAAAACAACACUCAGGUGCAGUCCCUGAGAAGCUCGACUAAGCCCGACCGCUGCUCGUCGCUCAGCUUCUUCGGGAAAACGAUGCUGAAUUUUAUCCUCAGAUCGCCCCUCGCGAGCGCCUUUUCGCUCGCGAGGGGCAUUCCCUGGCCCUUGAUCACCUUCUCGUAGCCCGGAUAGAUGAUCUCCUCAUCGAAUGAGCAGUUCAUUUUUUCUCCGGUGAGAAGUCGAAAAGAGAAUGCCCAUCCUGUUAAAGCAUUGAUCAAAGGGACCUCAACUUUGAGAACCAAAUCAUUCCCCACUCUCUUGAAAAUGGGGUGCUCCUUUUCUUUGAUCACGAAGACCAAGUCGGCGGCGAGACACCCCGGUCUCUCGUCCCCCAUGUUCUCGAAUGUGAUCUUGGUUCCUUUCCUCCACCCGGGUUUUAUUCUUAUUGUCAGUGUUUCCUCCUUUUUCGCAAUCACCCUGCAUUACAAACCAAAAGUUUCACAGUUUCAGUUAAAGAAGUUUCGAUCUGACGGUGUUUCAGGUUUCAAUUUCAGCGCUGACGCUGACGGCAGACUAACGGUAGGACUUGAUUACAGAGACGAAAUUGACGAAAUUGGUAAAAUCGAAACUCGGAGGACGUAAUUUUGAAACUGUAGUCAGACAAAUGCAUCUGACCAGAAUGGAAGAAGAGAAGUUACUGUCUCAUAAUUUCAGGUGGCUACCGCCUUCGCAUAUCUCUGAAUUCAAUUUAUUGAAUUUAGGACCACUUCUUAAAAGAUAAGCUGCAUAAACAGCAAGAGGUACGUAUUUGAUGACAAAUUUAUGAAUCUACAAAUGUAAACGAAGCGUAAUUUUUCUUAAAUUCGGGCAACAUAUGAAGUAGAGAUAAAAUAAAACUAAGGCAAAGCUUUGCGAUUAACCUUAUGAUGAAUCUACAACUAUCACUGUUUCAUCAUGAAUUUAAGCUGAUACAAUUUACUGAUGUAAAAGCACCUCUGUUCUAGUUAACUGAUUAGCAUGAAGAGCACUACUUACAUAAGAAUCUACCGAUUUCUUUGGUUUCGAGUAUUUUCAUUUUGUAAUCAAUCGGAAAAGCAAUAUCCUUUGCAUCCAACUGAGAAAAUGCUCAAACAGUGAGAAUUCGUUCGAAUUGUUGCACGUAAAAUUUCCAUUGCUUCGCUUCAUUUCAUUCGAAUUCCUUGAUUAGUAACUAGAAACUACCACUUCGCUUAUGGAUCAAAGAGUAAAAGAAAGCAAUUGAUUGCAUUUUAGCGUAUGAUCCUAUCGGGUCCUGCUGUAGAGUGUAGUGCUUUUCGAUAAACUGACGAAUCACUACUUUUCGUUAAAAGAAAAAAAAGUCAAUGUCAUUUUAACUUUUCGCACUUUUCACAAGAACCAAAGCUCCAUAGUUUUCCGCGCUCUACUACGUGUAUAGCUGCAGCUAAAAGCAGAAGCAGAAGUAGGGUCAAAUAGACAAUAGAUGGUAAAUCGAACCCGUUCUUGGCGACGACGUCGCGGACGACCUUGAUCUCCUUCUUGGAUCCGCGGCAGAGUUCCUCGAGCGAGCACUCGAUCUUCCGCUCCACCGGCGGCAGCUUCCGCCGCUCGAACGAGCUUUUGAAUGCCGCCAGCGCGGCGCGGCUCCUCCCCACAUUCCCGGCCGAGUUGCACCAGACACCCUCCUCAUUCUUCCGAUCCUUCUCGCCCCUCCGAACCCCCGGCGCCGCCGCGCUGCCGCCGGCAGCGGCGCCGCCGUUUACGCCGUUAAUGCCGCCUCCGGCAAUGUUGCCACCGCCGCCGCCGCCGCCGCCGCCGCAGUUUGCCCCAAACAGUGCCCUGUUCUCUUGCUGAUCACUCAGUGCCUAAGAGAAUGUGAAUUGAUGAAUAAAUGAAUGGAUAUUACAGAAAAAAAAAAUGGUGCUAAAAUUCAAUCAAAAAAUACCCCCGAAAAAACCCAUAAAAAUCAUAAAAUUUACGAUUUAAUGCGCCAAAAAAUAGCAAAUUGUUUGCAAUCUAUGCAACUGCAAGUGAAAAAAAAAAGAUGACAGUUUUUUUUUUUUUUUUUUUUUUUUUUUUUUUUUUUUUUGCAAUAACAAUAAGAGAAGAAUCAAUUUGUCAACACAUUUAACUAUAAAAUUUAUUACAAAUAGAGAAAAAGGAGACAUUAUAGCAAUAGAGAUCUAAAAGUAGAUAUGCAUAAUUUAUUAGGUGUAUCCAAAAGUUAAUAUUAUGCAAAGGGUCUUACAGAAUUAACCUUAUCUCCUUUCACUGUCGGAGUAUUUGUCAGAAUAUUAAAAAAUUGAAAGCUCAUUAAAUAAAACACUCAUUUUGGCCACAAAUAAUUCACAAAUUUUCUUAUAAUUUUGGUACUCUGAAUAUAAAAUAUAAAAAUAUCGUCCAAUUUUAUAAAAUAAAAUUACGACUGCAACAGCUACCGGAAAAAGCAUGCAGCCUUUAAAAAGCCUGAAAAAUUUGACAGCACUUGCAAUCCUUUCUCGUCGGAUGUCAGAAAAUUGUAUGACAGCCGCCAGCGAAUGAUGAAGGACUGACAGCACUUUCGAAUAUUUUAGGCCUUCCGAGGCAUACAAGCAGUCCUUGUGCUUGAGUCUCGACAUGGUAUCAGAGUAAGAGCUUUUGAAAGUAAAAUUUAGACCUCGUAGGCUUCGGUGAUGGAUUUGAAGCGCGCUUCUGCUUCGGGCUUGGAGGAGGGAGGGUGCUUAUCCGGAUGCCAUUUUCGCACCAAGGAUUUGUAGGCGCUGCGAAUCUCAUGAGGGGAGGAGUCCUUUGAGAUGUUGAGUAUUUUGUAGUAAAUAUCUGGGGGGUUUCCCAUUGCAAAAUUAUGGAGAUUUUAGAGGCACUAAGUUGUAAAAAAAAAAAAAAAUUAAACAAGAGAGAGAGAGAGAGAGAGAGAGGAAUAAGUGGAUGGAAGUGGAAGAGAUGAGAGUGGGUUUUAUUUAGGAAGUGAGAGAGAGAGAUGGUGAGGAAUUUCCCAUCUUUUUCAAAUGGAUAAACACUCCCUAAACUUUAACCGAUUGUGAUAUUGAUCCCUAAUAUUUUUAGGCUAAAUUAUAAAAAAAGUCUCUUAUAAAUAUUAAUUUUUUUUAUUUUUUCUCUCCGACUUCCAAAAAGUUAGAUUUUACCCACUCAAUAACUCACCCGCUAGUUUCAUCACUAUUCUAUUUAUUUCUUACAAUUUAUAUUAAAAAUAUCUUUAAAAUGAUAGAAAUAUAUUAAAAAUUUAUUUUUUUUAUAUAAAAGAAGUAAGGGCAAUUUGAUCAUUUUGCCCUCUCUCCAUUAACGCCGUACUCUUUGAAAAUAUUUUUAAAACUUUAAGAAAGUAAAAUAUAGAUUUUUGAAGGUCGGGAAGGAAAAGUGAAAAAUCGAGCAUUUAUAGAAAAAUUUUCUGAAUUUAGUUUUUCUAAAAUUGAUUUGCGCUUCUUUACUUACUGUUUGUUUGAUUUAGCCUCUUCUCUGUUAGUAAUUUUAGAAAUUUUGUUAGGAUCAAAACGAACACUCGCCAAAGAUGCACGUGAUAAAAAAUUUGCUCAAGUCAGAAAAGAGAUCGCUGGUAUCUCUCGUGCACGUUUGAUUCUGACAGAAUCCCCAAAAUUAUCAACGAAGACGUUAGAUUCAACGGCUUAUAAACCGAGAAAAUGUAAUUUCAAAAUGGAUUAGCCUCCGUUUGGUUCGGGGUUAAGAAAAAAUAGCUAUUUCAGGAAUAGAGUUAAGUUCAGGGUUAAAGUGGAGUUAAAGUUUUUUUGUGUUUGGUUGGAGGUUGGAGUUAGUCUAGAAUAAUGAAAAAUAGUGUUUGGUUGGAGUAGAUGGAAUAAGAAGAUAAUGAUUGAUAAAGAAGGAUAAACUAUACAUUUUAACUAGAGAAAAAUGUUAGUUAUACAACUAAAAAACAGAGUGCACAUCUUACACUCCAAAAUUUUUAAAUUUAAUUUUUUACAAAACUUUUUUAAUAUAAAAAAGGAUAAACUUCAAAUAUCCCUCUCGUGGUUUCACACUUUCUACUUUACUACCCUAUGGUUUAAAGUGUAUCAAGUUAGUCCAUGUGGUUUCGUACUUUUUUUACUUUAGUAUUAUGUGAUUUAAAUUAUAUUAAGUUAGUACCCUGUGGUUUCAUUUUUCUCUUUCUAUAAUUCAUUUCACUAAUUUUUUUUGUUAAAUCAGUGACAAAGUUAAAAUUAAAGGAUACUAAAAUAAAUAUUCGAUAAACCUAGAUAGAGUAUGAAGUUUUUUGUAUAUAAUUUAAUGAAAUAUUAACGGAGGAAAAAAAAAUCAAUGACAAAGUUAAAGUAAAGGAUACUAAAGUAAAUAUUCGAUAAACCUAGAUAGGAUAUCUGAAGUUUUUUGUAUAUAAUUUAACGAGAUAUUAACAGAUGAGCCGACAAAAAGAUAAAAAUAAAACCACAGGGUACUAAAUUGAUACACUUUAAACCACAAGAUACUAAAGUGAGAAAGUGCGAACCACAGGGUACUAAAUUGAUACACUUUAACCCAGAGUGUACUAAAGUAAAAAACUGCGAAACUAGAGGGGUGGUAUUUGAAAAUUUUCCUAUAAAAAAAUGAUCAAAUUGGUAUGAAAUAUUAUCCUUUGGAUAAAAAGAUAUAAAAUUUACACUCUAUUAACAUCACUAUAUGGUGGAGGAGCCCACUUCCUUUCAAAUCUGAGUACAAAUUUGGGUGAAUAAUGCAAAUCAUAACAAAUCAGGGACUGUUUGAAAACUUUUGCUUUAAUUUGAAUUGUGCAUUGUAUCACUAUUUUGAGUAGAUCGAAAAAAUUUAGAAUGAUUGUUAAAUUUAUACGCAGAAUUUUACUAAAAUGAUUUGACAUUUCACGUUAAGAUUUUAUAUAAACUUUAAAUAAAAUGAAUAGUUUUCUCAACUUUAAAAUCAUCAAAAUUGAUUGUCUAUAGGGCAAUUUAUUUAAUUUAUACAAUUAUAUUUUAGUGAGUUAUUACAAUGGUCAUCAGCGAAUUUGUUUUCAUAAAAUUUUAUAAUCAAAUUCCAACGAUCAAUCAAAAAUUUUUGAACUUAUUUGACAUAGUAAUAAAGUACCAGGUUCAAUUUGAAGCAAAAUUUAGUUUUACUUUUUAUUAUUUGGAGGGCUCUUAAUAUAUUUUUUUUCUUUUUCAUUUUACUAAGUUAAGAGUUGAUUUUUGUUUUGUGAAAAUGUACAAAAUUUAUCUGAACUAUAUAACAUUCUUAAUAAGCUAUCCAACAUUUUAGAAUUUUGAUAUUACUACCCGACCUUCCAAUAUAUUUAAUUUUGGUCAAUCAAUGACAUUUUGAUUUCAAAAUUUGAAUGCGCCGUUUAUUUUUAUAUAUUUAAUUAAUAAAUUUUAUAUGAAUCUCGUAGUUAUAAAUCUAUGCAAGUAAGUAAUUAAUUUAAAUUUUAAAGUCAAAAUAUUAUUAACCGAUUCAAAUCAAACAAAUUGAAACGUUGGAUAGGAGAACCAAAAUUUGGAAAACUCGAAUAGUUGAUUCAAAAUGAUGCAAAGUUCAAAUAAUUUCUAUUUGUUUUUACCUUUCUAUUAUGAAACAAUAUUUGGGAUAUGUAUAAUAUGUUUACACGAUCGAUUGUAUCGAGUGCAGAUGAGUAGGAACUUGAUGGUUGGUGCAACAACCCUAUCCGCUAGGAACAAUAACUCGUUGGACCCAACCACUGGCCCGAAAGUUAUUAUUACUAGCGUGUAGGCCUUAUGUAAACUGAUUGGAAUAAAUUCCCCCUGUUUAGAUUCUCUCGGGUCCAAACCAAAUCACAGACAGAUCAUGACCAUUACCAGGCGUUGUGAGAUUUUAGAGGUGGCUCCCACCAAAUCUGUGGCUCCCACCAAAUUCAUUAGUGUAGCACUUUGUCCCGCAUAGCACUUAGCCGGCAGAUAUUCGGCUUUGAUACCAAUUGCAACGACCCCUAGCAACAAUAACUCAUUGGGCACAACCACCGGCCCAAAAUGCUUAACCCCAGUUAUUGUUACUAGCGUGUAGGCCUCAUAUAAACUGAUCGGAAUCAGUAUCCCAUUCGAUGUGAGACUAUUGGGGCGUUACAGUUGGUAUCUGAGAUUCCAAAUUUAAAAUCUAACUACUUUACAUUUCUUGCUUAUUAUAUUUUUAAAAGAAAACAAAGCGGAUAUAAUGCUAACUUUCUCUCUCUUUAUUUUUCUCUCCCUCAAUUUAAAAAGUAAUAAUAUUUAAUAUACUCUUCAAAAUUUUAAAGUUAUCUUAUUUAUUUCCGAUGACCUAAAAUACUCUCAUUGAUUUAAAAUUUUUUCUCAAAUACCCCUCUUUCCUUUAGGGCUUACUAAUGCGAUUUAGUUUUUAGAAGGAUAUUUCAAAAAAAAAUUAUAUGGUUUUAUACGUAAUGUCUAAAAACUCAAUUAACUUGGUAGAGAAUUAAAUCUAAACUAGAGAUUUCGCAGGAUUUGAACUCAGAACCUCAUAUUUUAAUACGAUGUGAAAUUAUAUGAAACAACUAUUUAGAAAAGAACAAUGCUUCGAAUAUUUAUAUUCAACGAUAAAAAUGUCACAUCGAUUUAUCCAUCUAUGAACAAUCCAUAAAAGUAAUAUAGUAAGAAACUCAAAUUCAAUCGUUGAAACUAAUUUGACUUUGAGAAGCGAAUGUGAUACAUUCAAGCGCUACAAAUAAAACAUGUCACGCUUUCAAAUAUGGUACCACUAAACAACUAAUAAUUCAAUUUGCAAUGGCCAUGAACUUCCAUAUAAGACCAAUGAUUCACCACUCUACUCAAAAAGUAGUGAUAAAGACCCAAUAUGACUCCAAAUGUCCUAGAGCUGAGUCACUCCUUUUUGGAAUAUAAAUAUAAACUAGUUAAGGGACCAGCGCGAUGCUACGGGUGGUUAUUUUAAAAUUUAAUUUUAAAAUUAGUUAUAAAAAUUAAUUUCAGAAUUUAAAUGGUGUAAUAAGUACAUUAAAAAAUUUUAGUAGGCAUAGUAGUCCUCCAUUAGUUAGUGAAAUACUUUUAGUAGGUAUCGUAGUCCCCCAGUAGUUAGUGAAUGUGAAGAGAAAUCAUGCUGCGAGUAGUUAUUUUAAAAUUUAAUUUUGAAAAUUAGUUAUAAAAUAAAUGCAGUUAUCUUUCCUAAUGUAAUAAGAAAUAAUUUUUAGUAGGCAUCGUAGUCCCCCAGUAGUUAGUGAAAUAAUUUUUAGUAGGUAUCGUAAUAUUAUAUAUAUAUUAAAUAAAUAUUUAUAUAUAAAUAAAUAAUAUAUAUCAUAAAAUAACAAUAUAUCUAUAUAAUAAUAUAUUAUUAAAUAAAUAAUAUUUUAUAUAUUUAUUUACAAUUUAUUAUAUAUAUAUAUAUAGUAUAUAUAUAGUAUAUAUAUAGUAUUAUAUAUGAGAUCCUAGCUACUAUAACAUUUAUGAUAAUUGCUUACCAUUAUACUCAUAACAGUUUUCGGGCCCUAAUUUAUUCCAUAAUCCAUUUCCACCAUUACGAUCAUACUAGUACAACCAACUACCAGCACUCAUAUCCUAGGGUUGACUACUAUCAAUCUAAGUGGGCGACCACAAACAUCUUAACCACACAUCCAUCAAUACAACGUUAAAAUUUAUGAUACAAGGGGUUCUAUACUCAUAAGAGUAUAUAAUCCCAGUCUAUAUAUAUUAUACUAUAUAUAUACUAAUAUUAUAAUUAUAUAUAUAUAUUAUAUAUAUAAAAAGAGUGGAGAGAAGAGAAUGAAGGACGUCCACCGUGACCUCCCUGCUCAUGUGGUGCCACGAGCCACUUGGUCCGGAUCCCGUGCAACCUCACCACCCAAGACCGCGAUAUUUUAGGCUCUGCGCAACCCGCGCCGCGCCCGAUUGCAGCACCCCGCCCCGCCCCGCCCCUCGCCGGCCCCGCCCUCCAGCCCCGCGUGCACCGCCGGAGCGACCCCCGCCCAGCCCCAUAGCCGCCCCGCGCCCGCUCCACCUCGCGCUCCCGACCCCGCCCCGCCGGCUACUACCCGCCGCCGGCCGUGCAUCGCGCGCGCGCGACGCCCUGCGCUGUGCUCCCGCGCGGCCUACUCUGCGACACGUGUGCAGUUAUUGAGGAAUAAUAUAUAGUUAUAGAUUAUAGAUUAUAGAUUAUAGAUUAUAGAUAUUUUUAAUAAAAAAGAGUACACUACAAAAAAAAAAAAAAACGAUAUAUAUCGAUACAUUUAAAUAUCAAUACAGAUAAAAAAAAAUAUUAUUGGCUAAAUUUCUCACGCCCUUUUAAAAGUGUUGCUAUAUGUGGGGUUAUUAUAAGUAGGGUCGCCUUGAUACUUAUCACCCACUCCUCCAAUGACUUGUGGCGGAGAGAUAUGCGGCGAUCGUAACCCUCUAUGGUCCCUGCGAGAUCCUCGCGGCCGAACUCCAGCCGCUGGAACCCUAUCUCGUCGGCUCCCGUGGCGGAGGAGGAAAAGGGGAGAUGGUGAUUAUUAUUUUUUUCUUUUUUUAUUUAAAAUCGGGCUGAGUGAACUGGAUGUUGUCGAUUGAGUAGAAGAACUUUUUAUUUUUGAUCGGAUUGAGCUUUAUAUUUAGACCUCAGUAGAUUUCUUAACAAAAUUUUGGCAUAAAUAGGACAUUUAUAUAAAAGUGUUCCAAAAAUGUGACCUUAUAAUCUAAUUCUGUUGUAGUGGUAAAAAAGACUAAUAUAAAUGUUUAUAAUUUAAAAUUAUUUUUUUGACUUAAUUAUUUAUUUGUUUUGUUUUCAUAUAUUAACAUUUAAAUUAAAAAAAUAUUGUUUUUGACUCUUUGAGCUAUUCCUUGGCUUUUUUGUUGGCUUCAUUAAAUAAAUAUAAAGAUUUAUUUUCCGCCCAUUAACUGUUAAUAGCUAACUAAUUGAAUUAUGAAAUUUUAUUAAACUUUAAGCCUAAUAAAUAUCAAAACUAAAAUUAAAAAAUUAGAAGUUGAGGAAUAAGUUGAUGGUCUAUUUCAAAAUAAAAAUAUAAUAUAUAUUGCAUCAAUCAAACUAUAACAAAAAAAAAUGUAAUAUUUCAAAAACUAGAAUUAGUUGAAGAAUAUUAAUUAUAAAAAAUUUAUUAUUUAUUAUAUGUAUAAAACUGAUUUAUUAAAAAAAUUUUAGCUCGUGUGUUAUUACCCUUUAUUUUAGGGUUUUGCUACUGACUACGUUAGAUUCCAAAUUUCUAAAAACAAACCUAACAAUUUAAUGCCCAAGACUAUUUUGGUACAAAGUGUGAUGCUUGCACAGUAGCACAAGCUCAUGGCCUACUAAACUACUCUCUCUCUCUCUCUCUCUCUCUAUAUAUAUAUUCAUUUUCAGCUGUUCAUUUUUAUAUCCAUUCAAUGAAUAAGAAACAAUAUCGAAAAUGUAUGAAAUUUGAUUUCUAAACACUUCAAAUGGUAUAGAACAUGUUCAACGGUGCCGAUCGUCAAUUUGGAGGCUCUAUCAUCGAAAACAAAUUGGUGACAAUGGAGCCCGUUUGCUAUCGAUAGUAUUCUAGCUCAACUCUAUAUAUAUAUAUAUAUAGAGAGAGAGAGAGAGAGAGAGAGAGAGAGAGAGAGAGAGAGAGAGAGAGAGANAGCUUUUGGAUCAACUCUUUUCAUUAUUUCUAACUAUUGGAUUAAAUACUAUAACCCAGUGGGAAUCACUCAACCCUAGGGGGACAACUCAACUCUAACCGACUAAUAUCAUCCUGACCCUAUAAUUUUUUAUCCAAAGGUUAAAAACUUGAUAGCAAAAAGAGCGGUUUACUAUUAAUAAUAUUCCAGCCUAAUUCUAUAUAUAUAUAUAUAUAUAUAUGAGCUAGUCUCCGAUACUAUCUAUAGUACCGGGACUCCGGUACUAUAGUCUCGUUUUCGAUGUUAGGGUGUUCAAAUCAACGAUCCACAUCGUUAAAACUGAUUUAUGGUAUUUAAAGUUUUUAGAAAUAAAAUUUUAUAUUUUUUCGACAUAGUUUACUUUAUAAUCAAACCAUUUCAAAAUUGUCAAUUUUCAAUGGUUACUAUAGCUAGUUUGGAGUUUAACGAUGUAGAAGAAUCUAAAUUUCUUCAAAUUUUGAUAGAAAAUAUUUUAAACUAUUUAGAUUAAGGUUAACAUUCUUAUCUUGAAUUUAAAAGUUCUAUACUCAAAUUUUAAAGAUUAUUCAAUUUUCACCGUCCAUUUUGACAUAAUUUAUUUACUAAGUAAACGAUGUCGAAAAAAAUUAAAAUUUUAUUCCUAAAAACUUCAUAUACCCUAGAUCAUAUUUAACGGUGUGGAUCGUUAAUUUAAACACCCUAAGAUCGAAAACAAGACUAUAGUAUCUGAGCAUCGGUACUAUAGAUAGUAUAGUAGCCUAAUUCUCUCUCUCUCUCUCUCUCUCUCUCUAUAUAUAUAUAUAUAUAUUAUUGUUUGCGCUUGUUGUAUUCGUAUAUCUCAUGCACCACACUUAAUUUUUGAUGAUUAGUAUUUAGAAAUUAAAAUCAAAUUGGAUAAAUAUGAGCUAUACCAUUAAAAAGUUAAAAGGUUUGAAAAUCUAUUACUAGGGCAUUGAGCAGUCUCAAUAAUUAACAGCAGAAGAAAAAGGCUAUUAUUUGAUUUGUGGGAACCGAUUUUUUCAAAAUUUUUUGAUUUUUUUAGAAGAAUUUUGAUUUUGAAGACAUCGAUCGUGGAUAGGGAUGCAAAUUAAUCCAGAUUGCUGAAGCUUCCACCUCCAUCUGCCCUAAAUUAGGUGGAACAUGAGGGCCGAAAAUAAGAGAAAAAAAGAAAUUAAUCCACUCUAAAUCUAUUCUGAUUUGCUAAGUAAACGAAAGGAGGUCAGAAAUCUCUUUCUUUCUUUGAACUAUUCUGAUCCGUCAAAAAUUCAUAAAAAGAAUUCAUGCCCGUCUAGGUUCAUGCUGAAUCGAGCAGUAAGUAGGGGCGAAAAAUAGAAUACAAACUGUAACGGCCCGAAUUAUCAGGCGAUAUGAGAUUCUAGAUGUGGAUCCUACGGGUUCAAGAGGUGGCUCCCACCAAAUCCGUUGGUAUAGUAUUUUGCGCCAUAUACCAUUUAGCUCCCACACCUUCAGCUGGUAUUCGUCUCUGUUACCAACUAUAACGAUCCAAUCUGUUAGCAACAAUAAUCCGUUGGGUCCGAACUACCGGUCCAAAAUAUUUAAGUCCAGCUAUUAUUAUUAGCGUGUAAGUCUCAUAUAUUCUAAUCAGAAUCAGUUUUUCACCUAAUGUGGGAUUAUUGGGACGUUACAACAACUCACACCGUCUGAACGUGUCCCGAUGGGAUAAGAAAUGGGGGCGGGAGUUGUUCCCCGGAACAACUCCGGUCCCGCCCCUCGAUCCACCCCGUUGGCAUCCCUGCUUCAGACGGUACUGUUUAUAAAAUAAAAAUCUCCUACUGCGUGUCUUUGAGUUUUGAAUUAUGUGGACAGGAUGAUGAGUGGACUCACCAGAAGAAUCCAAGACAGCAGGACCUCACAUGAAAGAGAAAGGUACAGUUGAGGGGUCGUUUUUAGACAACAACCCAAAUAGGAAAUUGCGCAUGCAAUUUUUAUAAUACUAAUAAUAUAUACAAAUAAACACCCCAAUUUGUGGAAAUUAUUCCAUGCAUGGACCUGGUCCGCCACGUCAGCGGUGAAUCUGUCGGCACUGUCGGGUCGAAAAGAGUUGCAACGGAAGCAUACAGAGAUACACAGAAAAUAUACUUUUUCUAUUUUUCGAUUCUAUGCUUUUUGAAACCACCACUGCUGACACUGAAUUUCGGCUGUGGGAUAGAAAGCGUGGAAGGUGAUAUUAAUCAUUUGCUGUUUGAUAAGAGAUAUACAUCUCUAAGUUUUCGAACUUGGUUGAAAUUAUCGUGAAUCAGUUUUAGGUUUGGUCAGCGAUUAUAUUACUAAACAAAAUAAAAUUAAAGUUUAGUAGAUACUUGAGCGGUCCACGGCGAAUGUGGUGGACCAAGUCUAGGCAAUAAUUUCUCCAUUAUUUGGCACUAUGGGUAACUAUUGAGGCCUGUCUCCUGCAACAAAUUAAUUGUCUCUUCCCACCAAACUUAGACAACAUAUUAUCUAUAAAAAUUAGUUUAAUGCUGAUUAAAAACAUUUGAAUCUCAAAAUGAUCUAUUACUUCACCCAAUAUAUAGCAAGAUCUUUGACUACCCACUGUAUCUAAGGCAUGUUCAAAAUUCAAAACCUAAUUGCUUCAUAUUUUUAGCUUAGUUCAUUUCAGAACAAAGCAAAUAAUUUGCCAUCUCUCUCUCUCUCAAAAAAAGAAAUAUUUGACUAUAAAAAGAAGGUUAGUUAAGGCUAUGAAAACAAAAGAGGCAAUUGUUUAUAUACCUCUGAAAAGUUCACGACUUUUUGAUUUACCCUUUUAGGCUUCGUUCGGGAUUGCAGAAAGAUUGCGUUACGUGCGGUAAGAAAGUACGUUGAAAAAAUACUCUGUUUAUUUUCGUACGUAAUAUUGCAUUUCGCAUAUCGCGAUGAGUCAGUUACGAUAUAUUUUCUGCGGUCCCAUCGGGGAAUGCAGAAGUAUAUCCCUAUAUGCUUUUUUUCCAACUCCAUUUUAUCUAAUAGCGUUUGAUAGGCCUCAAUACCAAACUAAGCCUUAGAAGGUUAAUAUUAAAAAUACCCUUUUUACCCCUAGAGUUAAAUUUUGUUAAUAAACUGUUAGCAACAGCUGUUAUCUCUAUAAAAUUACUAUUUUGCCCUUUUAAAUAUACCCUUCUACUAUCACCAACAUUUCUUAUUUGUCCUUAAAGUCAGAGUAUAAAAGGUAUUUUAAUUUUUGGUCUUUUCAAAUAUACUAUUCUACUAUCACCAAUAUUUUUUAUUUGCUCUUAAGUUAAGGGUAAAAGAGACAUUUUGAUUUUUUUUUAACUCUGGUAGGUAUCUAACUCACGUUUAACCCAAGUUAACUUAACGAGUGGUAACUGCAAAGCUAUUUUAGAAUGACGGAGGAACAUAAGAGGGAUAUAUUGAAAAGAAAAAAAAAAGUAGAGGCAAAUAAGAUAUUUUCGAAGUUUCGUGAGUUAUAUAGACAAUUAUCCCAAAACAAAAAUAUAGAAAUGCUUCUGCAACUAUACAUCAACAUAUGCCGACCGUACCUAGCACAGUUGGCUAUAGACUUGAUGAUUGAUACAUGAAAUCUUAAAUUUAAAGCCUAGUUAUUUUACAUUUCUAGCUGAAUUCAUCUAUAAAUAAUAAACAAAGCAGGUAACUUGCAUUCUCUCUCUCUCUCUCUCUAAAAAAACAAAAAAACAAAAAAAAAAAAAACACUAUCCAUCAAUAGAAAACUCUACUAGAGUCGAGCAAUCUAUGGAAAUAUACGGUCACCUCCUACUACAGCAAAUGUUGGGUGGCAUCAGAACAAGAAAAUAUGCAUUAAUAACGUAAUACUUUUCGUUAAGUAAAUAAUGAAGUUCAUGCAUGGCGAAAAAGAUCGAAAAUCGCGAUUAGUUAGAGAUUACCUUUGCCAGUGUAAGCAUCAAUAAAAAUGGUUGGAACCUCACUUCCAUUUUGUCCAAAUCAGUGCAUAUUUUUGAAAUGAGGAACUAACAUUAAUGACCCUUUAACUUACUCCUAACAACCCUCUUAAAGAGACUAUGAUAUAAUUGACAUUUUCUAAUAUUUCGGAGAUUUUCAAAAUCAAAUUAAAUGCAAGAAUUAUUCGGUGGAAUUCGCUACGUAAUUUCUAAUUCAUGUGGGAAAGGUGUGGUAAAAUUCGAACAAAAGGUAGGAAAUUAAUAAGCACAAAACUUUAGUUUUCGUCGGUAUCGGAAUAAAAGGUUUUGAGUUCAAAUAAAGAUCAUAUUGAGUCAUAAUUUGAUUGAAUUCAAAGUCCACAUAUAAGUGGUCGUUUGGUUAAAUAUAAUUAUAAAUACGGUAUAAUUGGAUAUGAAUGAAACUGAAAAUAUAGUAAUUAUAACUACAGCAUCCUAUUUGGUUGGAUGUGCUGUAAUUAUAAAUAAUUUGUUUAAUUGUAUGCAGUUGAGAAAUAAUUUUUAAAAUUUUAUCAUUUUAUAUAUAUAAUGGUGAAAUUACCUCCAAUGUAAAUAUAUAUAUAUAUAUUGUUUAAAAAAUAAUUAGGAAGGUAAGCUAACCAUUUGGUUUAAGUUACUUUCUCCAAUUACUGAAGUUGGAACUGCGAACAAUUUGAGCGUAGUUCCAACUACUGUAGUUGGACCUCCUCCUGCAGUUUUUACUGCAGCAGUUAGAAUUAAAUAAUCAAAUUAAAUACGAAUUUGUAUUUACAUGCAGUUACAACUGCAGUGUAAUUGCAACUACGUGCAACUAAACACCCCCUAAGUUAAAGACAUUAAAUGUUUUUCAUAAGGAGGGUAAAAUACAAAUUUUCACAUUAGAAGGUUAUUUCAUGAUUGGAACCAUUAAUACUCCAAAGCAUCUUUCUUUUUUUUUGAAAUAAUAAGUUACAUGAUAAUGCUUUAGAUCAUUGGAGUGUUGACUUAAGUAGAUGUUGUGUGACAUCACCAUGCAACUAAUAAUUUGCUCUACACUCUACAACUAUGAUUAAUUAAUAAUUUGAUCUUGUGUGGCAUCACCAUUCCCACAUCCUAAAGUUAGUAUGAAAUUAAAGAAAUAGGCAUAAGGUGGGUGUAACUCUUAUCCAUUUUAAAUGAAAAAGAAUAUCCACAUAGCUUAUUUUAAUCUAAAAGAGUAAGAACAAGGCCAAAGAAUAGGGAAAAAAGUAGCUAAUAGCAUGACAUGACUUAAUCUUUAAAUCUACAUUAACAAAUCAACAUAAUAUUAUAAUAUUAAGAUGCUUUUUCUAAGAAGAAAAAUAUUAUAAUAUUAAGAUGCUUUUUCUAAGAAGAAAAAUAAUUAUGUCAAAUCUUGAAAGAAAUAUGAUGUUUGUUGGUACAUGAAAAAGAAGUGGGUAAAAGAAAAUCUGUGACAACAUUAUUGUGUUUUCUUCUUUAUCAACCUUUUUGGAAGGAAACUUGUGGAUUCAAUUUAGACAAAGCUUAUCAAUAUUCUCCAAUUAUUCCAAACAAUAUAGGUGAGAAUGGCUAAAUUACAGAAAAUCUCCUUAUAAAUAUUAAUUUUUUUCAUUUUCCCUCCCUAAUUUUCAAAAUCCUAUAUUUUACCCCUCAAUAUUUUAAAUUAUCAUAUUUAGCCCCCUCGGUCAGGGUUCCAUCACUAUUCCGUCUAUUUUUAUAAUUUAUAUUGAAAAUAUCCUUCAAAAUGAUAAAAAUAUAUUAAAAAUAUUUUUUUUUCGUUAUAGAAAAAGUAAAAGUAAUUUGGUCAUUUUAUCUUUUCCAUUAACGCCGUGCCCCCGAAGGCAUUUCUGAAACUUUAAGAUAGCAAAAUAUAGGUUUUUAAAAGUCAGAGAGGAAAAGUAAAAAAAGCGGAUAUUUUCGAAAAGAUUUUCUAUUAUUUAGCCAAAAAAAAAAAAGCUAAUAUUGGAUACAACUAUUAAAAACACAGUUUUCUGACUGAGUUAAACUUUUAUACCAAGUCCCUAAUCUCACUUAAUUUCCAUUCACAUCUUGGGUCUGUUACAAAGUCUCUAGCAUUCUCUAAUCUUUUGAGCUUUCAAAGAUAUAAUAACAGUUGUGUCACAUUAAUUAACAGAUAAAAAUGCAAAAUUAAAAGGGCAGCUGAGAAAACAAGGGGGUCAUGAUUCCUAGAUAUUGUCAUAGAGGUAGGAGAGAUGGUUGUGUAACUUGAAAGCUACUCUGUCCCCUUCCUAAAAUGCACAAUCAAAUGCAACCACCCAAAAAAAAAAAAAAAAAAAAAAAAAAAAAAAAAAAAAAAAGGGUUGUGAGAAGUUGAAGUAGAUAGAGCAACACAAAAUGGGGCAAAAAAUUGUACAUAAUUUUCAUUAGAGCUAGCUCAGAAGAUGACAAAUGCUAUUCAUUGAAUGUGGGUCACCUCAGCAAACAAACAUGAUUACAUAUACUAUGCACAAAUCAUAAAAUUAGAAAGAAACAAUGAGUGUACAUAUGGUAGACAAAUCAUAAAUAUCUUGAUGUGUACCUCUUUAACUUUUGAUUGCUUUUGAAUUUUAGUAAGUUUAAACAAGUAAUUUGGAAAAUUAUUAAAUUCACAAAUUGUUCGAUCGAUCAAAUUAAAUGCGUUUAAUAACAUUCCUAACUUAAUUAACUAGAUUACUUCAGAUUAAAAAAAAAUUAGAAGUUGAGGUUGUGUCAAUGAAAAAGACUAAAAAAAAGAAAAGUUGACAGGCCUAUUUCACAAUACCCUACAUCUAUGAUGGUUCCCUUCAUAUAAAACAGAGGUAGUUAAAAAUACAAAAGCAUCAACUCAAUCAACACCAACAACAACAGUGAUGUAAUUGUAAUGGGAAUCAACUACACAAAUUGGAUUUUUUUUAGGAAUUGUUUAUUUGACUUAUUGUCAUUUAGUUAUCUAUCCCAUUUAGUAAUAAUGAAACUCCCAAAUUUUAAAUCUUCAUAAAUUAAAACAUCACUAAGAUUAAAACAUGUGUAAAAAUCAAUUAGAUUUUCGAAAAAUUAGCAUUCAUAUUGCAAGAAAUUACAAUUUAUUAAAAGCUCAGGAACUAAGCCAUAAAUUUUGCUCCUUACCAUGCUCAAUAUCUUCUAUGGUGGAUCCUCUUCACAUUAGCCUUUUGCACAAACCUGGAAGUGUGAGUUACCUUAAUGUUAUGAAGUGCACUACUCACAUGCCCAUGAUGAUGCUUUAAUCCUUGAUCAUUCUCAUUCAUAUAAAUCGAACGCCGACUAAUCCCGACCCUAAUCCGAUGGCUUCGCGGCCUUAAAGAUCUGUCCAAGUAGAUCCUUCUUCUGUCUCUCGACCUCUUAGAGAGAGUUCUUCUCAAUUCUGUUGAUCUCGGCACGCGCGAAUACGAUAUUCUCUCUUCCAAGUCGUCGUCGCUCGAAGUAUCAUAGUAGUCUUCGAGAUAUCUUUUACGUUCCUCCCGCGAUUGCUUCAAGUUCUUGAGCUUAAACCAAGCUAACAUGGACACAUAUUCGCAGGAUGAGAAGCAUGAGACAAUGCAUGACCAUAGCAUUUUGCACAUUCCCUUGCUGAUGCAGCCGCAGAUUCCAAUUUUAUAUAAGAGGUAGAUGAAUAACAGCACUGCGAAAAUGCAGGCAAAGAAAAUAUGUAAGUUGAAAUCAAAUUGAUUAUGAUAUGAGAACUCAAUGCGUUUUAUACUUAACCGAUGUAAAGAAGAACCAAUACAGCGACCAUCUUCACAAGAUUUGCGACGCAGAAGUUCUCUAUGUAACAUAUCAGAUCCCAUGUCGCAGCGCAAACUGAGCUGGUACAAUGCAAAUGAAGCAUAUUUGUUAUAUAAAACUGUUUUGCAAACAAUUAACAUGAUUAGUUUACUAUUUUGGCCUUCUCAUGUUAGAACUAUAUAUGUACUAAGAUGCGGUACAAUCAGAUUUUAAAUGAAUCAUACAAUUCAAAUCAAAAGCAUCAAGUUUUACCUGCAAGACUUGCCAGAAAGAAAGUCCAAUGGCGCUCCAAAUAAGUCGCCGAUGACUUUUGUGAAGCCCGCGAUUAACGAACCAACAAUGCUUCCCAUAGAAUCGAUUUCCGUUAUUAUGUAGCUGCAGAAUUAUUUAGCAACUCAAGACAUGAUAAUUAAAGAUAUGGCAAAAUAAAGAGAAUCAACACAAAUAAUUCAAUUCAGGGUAAGAAAGAGAAGCUACAAUGUUGUUCCUUUUUUCCUAAAGUAGAUUGCUUUAUCAACAAAACUACAUGACAAAUUGUGUAAUUAUUUGAAAUGAAUCAAUUUUAUUAUCUCAGAAUGCUCCAAACAUCAAAAACUAAAUUAGCAUCACAAGUUUAAGUUUGAUGAGUAUAUGGUAAGUGAGUGGACUUCCAAAAAUCUUUAAUCAAGUUUAUCGAAAGGUGCGAGGAGGACAAUUAGAUGAUCUAGUAACAAUUUCAAAAUGUACUUAUUUGUGCUGUAUCCCCGUGAUUCUUACGAAAACAAACGAGAAGGAAAAAGAAAAAUGAUUACAAUCUCUGAUCACUAAAUUUUGAUUAUUGAUGUAAUCUCAUGCUCGAUCUGGCAAGAGUAAAGGACUAGUUAAAAUCAAGCAAAAUAUGUACUAAUUACAUUCAAAAAGUCAAACUUUAUCGCAAUAGGCGAAACAAUUUAUUCUCCUGAUCGUAAAAAUUUAAAACUCAACUACAUUGUUUCUUGUUGCUUCAGAUAAAAAGUGCUCGAUUUAUUUCCUAUCCCUGCUAAGCAUUUCAUCAAACAUCUUAAAGGCAAAGUGCGGGCGCAGGAAAAAAAAAAAGGCCAUAACUUGCAUUUGAUACUACAUCAAAUCACAACAAGUGUAAAAUAAAGUGAUGCAACCAAUAAAAUUUCUCAAAAAAAUUGCUUCUUUUUUUCUUAUUUGAGAACUUAAAUACGCAUUAAUCACUCAACAAAAUUUGAGUGAUGCUUAAUCACUCAACAAUGUUUCAAAAGGAGACAAAUAUCAUGGAAAUGGGGGGAAAAAAACUGACCCAAAAAUUCAUGUGGAGAUGCUCCCCAACGGAGACUUUUGCAAUAGAGAUGAGAAUAAAUCUGAUUAGAUAAAAAAAAAAAAAAAAAGGAUUAGAGUUUUCGCUUUGCAAUCGUUUUGGUUUUCUUUUUUCUUUGAAAAUCUAGCGUUGUUUCUCUUCGGAGUCGUAUAAAAGGGUUUUGGAGAGGGGGAAAGGGAAUCAAUUUAUGUAACCGACUCUUCCUCCAACGGUCGAUUUAAUUUAAAGGUAUCCGUUAGAUUAGUCGAGCCCCGCGAUCUCGGCGGUCCAUCUAAUGGCACUGAUGAUGUAACUGUUCCGUUAGUUUUCCUUUUUAAUUUUUUUUUUUUUAUGGUUUUUUUAAAAGGUUUGUAGGUUCUCAUAUAUGUAGAUGUUAAUCACACAAUUAUGACUUGAAUUUGAGACCUACUGCUUCGAAAGAGUAUCUUCGAAAGAGUACCUACCAACUAAACUAUCAGUUAAUGAUUAAAAUUUUAUACUUUAAAAAGCGUUAACCGACGCUGUAACCUAGAGUUUAGCGCUCACUUACGAGCCCGAAUUGCAGGAAAAAAAGUUCUUGUGCGUGCGCGGUGUCUAGGUUUUCACCGUGCUUCUGAAUCAUUUAAUUUUUCAGUACUACUUUAAACGCGGAAAAGUUAUUAUAGAAGCGAGACCAAGCAGGCACAAAUAUCAUGCUUUGUGCUAAUCUUUUCAGCCAUUAAGUUGGAGUAGAAAUGCUAUUCCAAAUGUAAAGAACAGAAAUCCUGAUUACAGUAGAAAAUUUUUAUUUAUGUAAAUUAUAGAAAAUUACAAAAAAAGAAAAGAAAGAAAGGGUGUAAAGCUCCAGGACUAUCUAAACUGUUGAGCAAUUUGAGAUUAUAACCGAAACUUAUAAAUCGAUAUAAAACCACAUAAAAAAUAUAGCUUUACUGCAUAUAAUCACAUUGUUCAAAUACAUUCUUCAACUCUGAUCGCGAUAAAUUACCAAAAAGUAAUCCAAAGCCGUCCAAAUUUUAUCAUCUAAACGGUAGUCCAAUACAUUCUUCAACUCGGAGCACAGAUAAAUUGAAGUUACUACAAGAAAAUACAACAAAAACAAGCGCCGUUACCUGUUUUGGUAAGCAGCAACUCUAGUCCCAUCGUAAAUGAGAAAUUGGGUACAAAUUUUUCGCAUCAAGUGAGCCCUUUGUUCUAUACUUGGUGUUGAUUGUUACUAGGAGCAAUUUGCUUUGAUAGCGAGUGUUUUGGUAAUUCCAGGGCAUAAAUCUCUUCCGAAGUGAUCUUCUGACAGUGAAACGGUACAGCUACUUGCAUGUAAACAAGCCUGCCAGUGUAGCAAAAAGACGUUACACAAUAAUACAGAUGGCCCAGGAAAAGUAAAAUUUAUUUCUCAAACAUGGGUUUCACAAGUUACAUUUAAACAUGAUCCUUCGGUCAAUUGAGUUAUGUAAUUUAUGUUAUAUACCGCCGAUAGGCUCAAGUCAUGUAGAUUGAGUGCCUGGUAGGCUAGUCUGGAAGAUAUGCAGAAGUGCUGUAGAUUAUAGCUGUUCGGAAGAACAGUAUCAAGUUUUCCAUUGGUAUUGUAUCCAAAAGCAGAAGCUUCAAAUCUGAGCUUCUAAUCUCAUUUCAACUUUGUACAAUAACAAAAAAGCUCCGGGAACAAAAAGCUCCGGGCCUAUUGUUUUCCAAACACAUAAAGACUAUAUUUCAAAGUCGAAAAGUUGCUCCAGGAGCUAAGCCAAACAAAACAAGCAAUAAAGAGUAAUUUAGCAGAAAACAGUAGUGGCAGAUAAUUAACUUCCUAUCUGAAGUUUCUAUUCGACAAAAUGUUUACCUUUUCGACUACAGAAAGAGAAUCGGGAUAAUGGCAACUUCCUUGUUGGUAGGAUCUGCAUGCUCCAUAAGGGUUUCCGAAGCUCGCGAAUGUGAUCGAAGAUAUAACAGUGCCGUCAGUGCAGUUCAAGCUUACUUUGGCCACGGCACUAUCAGACUCUGUCUUGCUCUUGUCCCAAGAUUCUAAGGCUUUUGAAGGAUAGUCCUCCGAGAUAUAACCACAAACGCCAGUCACGCGUCUUCUCGCAAAUGUGAUCUUUGUCGGAUCCCCGCCUUUCUCUUCAAAUAUCACAAGUGUAUUUCCUGAUGGCUGGAACCAAGAUCGUGGGACAUGAUACCUGGCCCAAGAAGAACACUAAUGAAACUGUAGAAGAAUUUAAUCUGUGCAUCUUUGCAUAUAUAACUUACAAAAAGCAUGUUUUUGUGUGUAGAUUGAUCAACAGUUACAUUUACCAGUAUACUGGCAUAGAAAGCCCAUACUUGCAUGCAUACCCCAUUAAAAUUGCAAUUUGCACCUAAACUAGCCAAUAUUUGUAAGGAAAAUUUUAAAAUAAUAUAUUUUGUUUAUUGUUUUAGUGAAUGGAUGUGAUUCUUCGUGAAAGGAUGCAAUCCUUAGUGAAUGGAUGCAACUCUUAGUGAAUGGAUGCAACCCUUAGUGAGUGGAUGCAACUCUAAUCAAAGGGUAUGACUCUUAAAGUGAAAGGAUGUGACUUUUAGUGAAAGAAUAUGAUAUGAAAAGACACAUCUUUAUAGUGUGUCUCUUCGUACAUAUGCCCGUUGGAAUCAAUGGUUAUAUUCAUUGAACUUGAUUCAUAUAACUAUUUGGUAGUUAUGAUCAAAUGAAAAGUCACAAUCGAAAGGUCACUUCACGAAACACCCUUUCGUGAAUAGUUACUUCAUGAAGCACCCGUUCGUGGCCUAUAUAAGUCCAUAGCAUUGGUUGCAGAAGGAGACAGACAGAAAACAGUUGAAGAGUUGAAGUCUUCAUUCAUAAUAAUUCCAUUCUUGUUUUAUAUUCUAUUUCUUUUGACAACUUAAUCGAGUGAGUGCUCAAAGGCUCGACUUCGUGUGUGCAAACGCAGUUGAGGUUUACGCUUCAUUGUAUCCUGGGAGGUUGUUCGUUGACCCGGUGCACACCAAAUUGUUAGAACGGUGGGGACGGAUUAAGCCUUAAGGAAAGUGGCAUUGCUACACGCCUUGAAGCCUUUUUAAUCUUUCUAUUUCAUACCUUUAUCACAAUCUGUUCCAACAAUCUUAAGGCUUAAAACCGAAAAUGUCGACUGCUACUCUACGAGAGAUGGCAACAAACUUUAUGAGACUAGAAAGAUUUGAUGGCAUGGACUUCAGACGCUGGCAGAAGAAAUUAUUUUUCCUUCUGUCGACUCUCAAAGUUGCUUAUGUCCUCACUACUCCAAGACCAGAAGAAAACGAUGAUGAACCUGUUGCACAAACUCGUACAAGACAAAAAUGGGAUGAAGAUGACAAUAUAUGCCGAGGCAAUAUUCUAAAUGCUAUGUCGGAUGCGCUUUUCGACGUCUAUCAAAAUGUGAAAACGGCUAAAGAACUGUGGGAAGGCCUUGAAGAAAAAUACAAAUCCGAGGAUGCCACAAGUAAGAAGUUUCUUGUUAGCAAAUUUAAUAACUAUAAAAUGGUUGAUAGUAGAUCUGUUCUAGAUCAAUUACAUGAAAUUCAACAUAUUCUCAAUCAAUUUACUCAACAUAAUAUGAAUAUGGAUGAAUCUAUAAUUGUGGCCUCUAUAAUCGAUAAACUUCCUCCAUCAUGGAAAGACUUUAAGAAAAGUCUUAAACAUAGAAAGGAAGAGAUUACUCUUAAAGAUUUGGCUAACCAUCUUCGCAUAGAAGAAGAAUAUCGUUUGCAAGAUAGCAAAAAGGAGCAAGAUGCUCAGAGUGCCAAAGUGUAUGUGACGGAAGAUGAGUAUAGUAAAACCCGUCAACCCACAAAAGAAAAUCGAAAGAGAGCUAAGCAUCCGAUCAACCACAACAUGACAAAUAAGAAAAAGAAAGGUGCAUGCUUUCAUUGUGGUAAACCAGGCCACUACAAGAAAGAAUGUCGGUUCCUCAAAAAGGAAAGUGCACCGGAUUCCAAAAGAAAUUUUGUGGCUAUGAUAUCCGAGGCUAAUAUACUCGAAGAUGACGGAGCUUGGUGGAUUGAUUCGGGUUCCACAAGGCAUGUGUGCAAGGAUAAAAGUUUAUUCAAAACUUAUGAUGCAUUGGAGGAUGGAAACGUUCUCUAUAUGGGCAAUUCUUCAACAGCACAAAUCAAAGGAAAGGGCAAGGUGGAACUCGAGUUCACAUCAGGAAAAACUCUCACUCUCACCGAUGUGUAUCAUGUACCUGAAGUUAGGAAGAAUCUUAUUUCAGGAAGUCUUCUUAACAAAUUUGGGUUCAAACUUGUAUUUGAGGCCGACAAAUUUAUUUUGUCGAAGGGUGGAAUCUUUGUGGGAAAAGGAUAUUUGUAUGAGGGCAUGUUCAAACUCAAUCUUAUUAAUAAAAUAAAUAUUUCAGCCUAUAUUAUUGACUCUUCUUCUUUAUGGCAUAAUCGUUUAGGACAUGUUAAUUAUAGAAAAUUACAAGAUAUGGCUAAGUUAGAGUUAAUUCCUAAUUUUGAUAAUAAAUUAGAAAAAUGUAAUACUUGCAUGCUCACUAAAAUUACUAGAAAGUCUUUUCCUAAAAUUGAUAGAUGUUCUAAUCUACUUGAGUUGGUACAUAGUGAUGUUUGUGACUUGCAUGCUUCUCCUUCUAUUGGUGGAAAGAAAUAUUUUGUUACAUUUAUUGAUGAUUUUUCUAGAUAUAGUUAUGUUUAUCUUUUGCAUUCUAAAAAUGAAGCGCUAGAUAAAUUUAGAAUUUAUAAAUCUGAAGUUGAGGUGAAAUGUGAGAAAAUGGUCAAAUGCCUAAGAACAGACAGAGGAGGAGAAUAUUAUGAUCCUUCAUUUUUUGAGUCCAUUGGUAUUAUACAUGAAACCUCUGCACCUUAUACUCCACAACAAAACGGAGUUGCAGAAAGAAAAAAUAGAACAUUAAUGGAAAUGGUCAAUGCUAUGCUUUCUAACUCUGGGUUAAGUUAUGGAUUUUGGGGCGAAGCUUUAUUAACAGCUUGCCAUCUACUAAAUAGAAUCCCAACAAAAAAGAAUGAUAAAACUCCUUAUGAAUUAUUCAAGGGAAGAAAGCCCAAUUUAAAUUAUUUAAAAGUUUGGGGUUGUAGAGCUAUUGUGAGGGUUCCAGAACCGAAAAGAAAGAAACUGGGUGAAAGAGGAAUUGAGUGCAUAUUUAUUGGGUAUGCACAACAUAGUAAAGCAUACAGAUUUUACGUGAUUGAAUCUAAUGACUUCAUUGAGAUCAACACAGUUUUUGAAUCUAAAGAUGCUAUAUUUGAUGAAAACAGAUUUGUAUCAAUUCCUAGACCCAAAGAACUUAUUGUGAGUAAAGAACACUCCAAUGAGAAAAAUGAUGUUGCAAUUGAAACCCCAGAACUUAGAAGGAGUAAAAGAGUUAGAAUUGCUAAAACAUUUGGACCAGAUUUUUAUACUUUUCUUGUUGAGGGUAGUAGAGAAAUGAUUACAGAAAGUUUCCAAUUUUGUUUAAACAUUGACUCAGACCCCACAACAUUUGAGGAGGCAAUGAAAUCUCCUGAUGUCGCUUUUUGGAAAGAAGCGAUAAAUGAUGAAAUGGACUCAAUUAUGACAAACCAAACAUGGAAAUUAGUUGAUCUUCCUCCUGGAUGUAAACCUAUUGGGUGUAAAUGGAUUUUCAAAAAGAAAAUCAAUGUAAAUGGCACCAUAGAUAAAUUCAAGGCAAGACUUGUUGCCAAAGGGUUUACACAAAAAGAAGGCAUUGAUUAUUUUGAUACCUAUGCACCUGUUGCCAGAUUAGCGACUAUUAGAACUUUGAUUGCUCUUGCUUCAAUGUAUAAUUUGAUUAUUCAUCAAAUGGAUGUCAAAACAGCAUUCUUAAAUGGAGAAUUAGAUGAAGAAGUUUAUAUGGAACAGCCCGAGGGCUUUGUUGUUCCUGGACAAGAGCACAAAGUGUGUAAACUUAUCAAGUCGUUGUAUGGGCUUAAACAAGCACCUAAACAAUGGCAUCAAAAGUUUGAUCAGAUUGUUCUUUCCAAUGGUUAUAAAAUUAAUCAAUCUGAUAAAUGUGUUUAUAGUAAAUUUUCAAAUGGUAAAGGUGUUAUUAUAUGUCUAUAUGUUGAUGACAUGUUAAUUUUUGGCACCGAUGUUCAGCAAGUAGAAAAUACUAAAAAUUUUUUAUCUUGCAAUUUUGAUAUGAAAGAUAUGGGGGAGGCUGAUAUUAUUUUGGGAAUUAAAAUUAUUCGUGAAAAUAAUGGAUUAUUUUUAACACAGUCUCAUUAUAUCGAAAAGAUUCUUAGAAAAUUUGGUUAUUUUGAUUGUACUCCAGUAUCAACUCCUUUUGAUCCUAAUCUAAAACUAGUUCGUAAUACUGGUAGAUCAAUUAAUCAGUUAGAAUAUUCUAAGAUUAUUGGAAGUUUGAUGUAUGCCAUGUCUUGUACUAGGCCUGAUAUUGCAUUUGCUGUUGGUAAAUUAAGUAGAUUUACUAGCAAUCCAGGUAAUGUACAUUGGCAUGCUAUUUACAGAAUUUUGAAAUAUUUGAAAAAGACAAUGGACUAUGGAAUUUUCUAUAGUGGAUAUCCAACAGUAUUGGAAGGCUAUACAGAUGCCAGUUGGAUAACAGAUCAAGAAGAUCAUGCAUCCACAAGUGGGUGGAUAUUUAUAUUAGGUGGAGGUGCGAUUUCUUGGGGUUCUAAGAAACAGACAUGUAUAGCGGACUCUACCAUGGCAGCAGAAUUUAUAGCACUAGCGUCUGCUAGUAAGGAGGCGGAAUGGAUAAGGAAUUUAUUAUAUGAAAUUCCAGUUUGGCCAAAACCAAUGCCGCCGGUAUCGCUACAUUGCGAUAGUGAAGCUACGCUCUCAAGAGCAUAUAGUCAAACAUACAAUGGGAAGUCAAGACAUAUUGGAUUAAGACAUAGCUAUGUAAAACAACUGAUAUCAGAUGGCAUAAUUACCAUUGAUUUUGUAAGAUCAAACCAAAAUCUUGCGGAUCCGUUGACUAAGGGACUUCCAAGAGAAUUGAUAUUCAGGACAUCGAUGGGGAUGGGUCUCAAGCCCAUAUUACAAAGUCACCAAUGAUGGAAACUCGACUUAACACUUGAAACAUCAUCAAGUCUUAAGUUCAAUGAGCCAAAGUACAUCAUAUGGAGUGAUUGCAAGCACUAUAAUAUAAAAUUUCCAUCCCAAGUAAAGUGCUUGGUAUCCGUAUUGAAAAGGGAAGGUUGAACUAAUAAAGUUCUUAAUAGACCUACAGUAGUAUUUACUGAAGUGUUAAAUACGGGACACUUCUGGUAGAGUCUACCUAUAUGAAUGUGAAGUGUGGCCGCUUCUAGGAGUUAAGGGCUUGACUCUAACAGCAUUCAUGAAACAGGAUGCGGACACAAGGCCAUAAAAGUGUCAGCAAUAAAAUAGAGCACUCGACUGAUUAUAAAUUUCUAUGUGUGAGAUAUGUCCGGUUAGUCGAAAAUAAUUGUUGGUUCAAAGCUUGUCUACCAUUCAAUUAUGACUAACUUUGAUGUGUUUUCACUAAGUGUAGGUUCAAGUUUUAAUACACCUACACCUAUGCAUACGGUUUUGUCAAGUUGUCAAGAAUUUUGAUUUUGAUUUUUGAUUUUGUUUUAUUUUGCUUUUUGAUGUAUUUUUAUGUAUUUUAAAAUUUGGUGGGGAAUUGUAAGGAAAAUUUUAAAAUAAUAUAUUUUGUUUAUUGUUUUUAGUGAAUGGAUGUGAUUCUUCGUGAAAGGAUGCAAUCCUUAGUGAAUGGAUGCAACUCUUAGUGAAUGGAUGCAACCCUUAGUGAGUGGAUGCAACUCUAAUCAAAGGGUAUGACUCUUAGAGUGAAAGGAUGUGACUUUUAGUGAAAGAAUAUGAUAUGAAAAGACACAUCUUUAUAGUGUGUCUCUUCGUACAUAUGCCCGUUGGAAUCAAUGGUUAUAUUCAUUGAACUUGAUUCAUAUAACUAUUUGGUAGUUAUGAUCAAAUGAAAAGUCACAAUCGAAAGGUCACUUCACGAAACACCCUUUCGUGAAUAGUUACUUCAUGAAGCACCCGUUCGUGGCCUAUAUAAGUCCAUAGCAUUGGUUGCAGAAGGAGACAGACAGAAAACAGUUGAAGAGUUGAAGUCUUCAUUCAUAAUAAUUCCAUUCUUGUUUUAUAUUCUAUUUCUUUUGACAACUUAAUCGAGUGAGUGCUCAAAGGCUCGACUUCGUGUGUGCAAACGCAGUUGAGGUUUACGCUUCAUUGUAUCCUGGGAGAUUGUUCGUUGACCCGGUGCACACCAAAUUGUUAGAACGGUGGGGACGGAUUAAGCCUUAAGGAAAGUGGCAUUGCUACACGCCUUGAAGCCUUUUUAUUCUUUCUAUUUCAUACCUUUAUCACAAUCUGUUCCAACAAUAUUGUGUGUACACCCUCCGCUUGAGAGCUUUCACUGUGAAAAGGCGAGUAUUUGGGGUGAAAUUGUAGUUCCCUUGGCGGAAAUAUAGGUUAUUUUACGCUAGCACUUGCCCAUACGAAGAAGGAUUUUGACAUUAGGAAAAGUUGUUAAAGAAGGACAUUUUGUAAAUACAUGGAUAUAAAUGUAACAAAUUAAGUUUGCUAGGAGCACAUGCGAAAAUUCAGAUUUCAUCCGUUUAUGUGUAAGUAGAUGAUUUUCGAGGGCUGUAUAUAUAAACAUCAAAUCAUCAAUAAUACUCGAACUUUAUUAUUUUUCAUCUCCAAAGUUUAGAUUUAUUACCAUCUCUGCGUUGGUCGUCCACAUCCUGUCCUGCAUUUAUCUGGGGAGAAUUUUCCCCUGUAAUUACAACUGGCAGUACACUGAUCAUGUAAGGAGCUCUUUCUGGGCCAAUAUCUUCCUAUGGCUUUGCCAUUUAGCCAAGCUUGGCCUUUUCCCAUAUAUUGCAUGUCGAGCCCAAUAGGGUCAUUCCCUUUUGGAGUUUCCACAUUUACCUUCAAAAUUUUAAAAGACUAUCAUUACCAUAGAAUCUACUAACAGAGGUGAACAAAUCUUUUCACACACACACACACACACACAAAAAGGUAGCCUCUACGUAGUUUUGGAUUUAAUUGAUGGAACUAUUGAGCAAACUGCUAUUAGAAUGAGUACGCUACCUUGUACCAGAUCAGAGGUUGAUCUUUUGGCGGCUUGGGUGAUGGCAUCCACUUAAUAUCAUCUCUACUAUCUGGGUUGAAUAUGCGAUGAUAUUCACCUUCUAAUCCAAUCUGCCAAUUUACCUGAUUAUAUUUCUCUAAAGAUACGAAAACUUUGGACGUUGUUUUAUAUGAAAGUAGAAACUAGCAUUGCACAUAGGCUUGCAAGAAGCCAAAUCGUGUGUACAGAUUUGAAUGCGUCCGUCUUCCUACAAGAAGUUAACUCUUGUAGUGAUGGGAGCACUGCUCAAUUUGUGAGUCAGUUAUACAUCUCACUGUAUAAGUAAAAAAAGAACUAAAAGAAAAACACUUUGUUUAUGUUUCACCAUUUGACUCGUAGCCAUGCUAAAAAUUAAUUUAUUCAUUUAUGGUUAUUAUUUGCUGCCAAGAAGUAGCUCAAGAGCAAGAUGAUUUGGCUAGCACAAUUUUGGAGGCAAAAUUCACGAAAAAAACCUGCCCACCCCCUGUAAGUCUCAAUGCAAGUAUUGAAAUCAAGUUAGCCGUCCCCUACCAAGGGAUAAGUGCUACAGAAAAGCCUGUGCAUACAUCGAAAUAAUAUGCUUUUAAUUAUUCACGACUUUAAGUACAAACUCACAGCUAAAGGUCAUUUUGUACCUUAUAAAUCCACUUAUUUGAAGAUAAGUCCAUGGUUCCAUUUUUCAAACCAUUGAUCUUGACGCUUGUUAAUCCUGCUCCUACCCACUCAUAAAAUGGUCCUGCAUUCUUAAAGAACAAGAGAAAACAUGAAAAAUCUCGGAGAACAAUAAUGUAGCCAUAAGAAAAGAUAUAUUAUUUUAAUAAUGAGCAUAGCCAAUAUAACGUUACGUACCUGGCUUUGGACCAAGGGUUCAAAAUCGGGAUAUUCAAUAAAGAAAUAAUGGAACAUAACUAAUAUAUGCUUAUGUACAUUUUAUAUCCAAAUUAAAUUGUUCAUCUACUAUGCUUGUAUUGCACAAAGAACAGUUCUAAAAUCUGUAUAAGAGGAAGGACAGACAGGACAUGGAAUUGAGGGAGCGAGAAAUGAGUGUUCCUAAAAGCAUGAUCAACUAUUUUGCUAUUACUGUGUUUACACUUGUAUGUUACAAAAAAGUCGAUUUCACUACUGGGCAGCAAGCAAGAUGGCAAAUUCAGAAAGAGGCCAAUCUUGAAAAGAAAGCAAAAAUUGUUUGAUGAUAAAAAGCAUUUAAAGACUCCGAUUAGAUCUCUUUUUGGUUUCCAAGUAGCCAUAGAUAUAUUUAUAAGCAUAGCACAAGUAAAAUCAAUAUUUUAGGAAUUAUAUAAUAUAUAGUGCAUCUGAAUGUAAAUACUUACUUGCAAGCCAACAGUCAUGCUCAGGAAAGCUAGUUCAUUCUUCCCAGCUCUCAGAGAAAUGGGUGUCUCAAGCUUAAAAGUUGAAUCGGAGCCAUUUCCAGACGCACCGGCUAGAAUUAUAAAUUUCAAGAAAAAUAAGCACAACCAUGAUGAUGAUAAAGUGGUUGUUUUAGAUGUUACAAUACUUAAAAGACAAGAACAUACAAAUAUACAAAACAAUCAUUACAAUUUGCGUGUGUGAUUUUUUGAGCCAGGUAAUCACUUAUUUCUUGAAAUCUACAGGUACUUCUCGAGAAAAUAUAAAUGAUGAAUAUUAUUUCCAUAGUGCAGCAUAUAGAGUUCUCUUUUGUUUGGAGGAAGAGAAGUUCUCCUUUUUAGUAAAUAAGUAGGGACAUGCUAGAUGGCAUAUAGUGCAACUCUCUGAACAUUGGUCUUCAAAACUCUGUUACUGCUCUAUAGGUGCAGGACUUCCAUUAAAAUCUCUAAAUAGGGAUUUGUUCAAUCUAUCCAAUGGAAACUAAUUUAAAUGCACGACACCUAAAAUCACCCGAUGGCAUAAUAAAAGAGAACAUUGCACUACACUAUCACAUGAAUUAUGCACAAUUACUUCAACUGAAGUUUCAGUAAACAUAACCAAAAUUCAGACGAUGGAACACAUCUUGCUUCUUUUCUGGCAAUAAAAAACAAAGGAUAAAAGAAGAAUAAAGUAUAAACCUUGAAGUUUCUUAUUUAGAAAAGCAUGGACAGCAUGGCCUUUUGAUUCAACUUUGAGAGUUGGAUGGCUGCCAUCACUCAAGAACUUUUCACUCUCGUCCACAAAAAAACUGCAAAUAUGUAUGAUAUUUCAAGCUAAAUGAGCAUCCAGGAGAGCAAUUGCAAGAUCAUGAUAAAUUUACACUAGAGCAGAAUGCUCACAAAAAAAAGUCUCUGGAGUUUGGAAUUUACUCUGUAAUUUGAGCAAAACAAGGUGGAUAGUAUGGGAGCAACAUUUAGUAGAUAUUAAAGAAAAACCUUUUAUGGUAAGAUAUGCACUGAGAUAUAUUUUUUCCUCAUCUAAAUUAAUAUGUAGAUAUCCUACUCAUGCAAUCCACAUAAAAUUAUUUUCUAAAUUAAUAUGUAGACAUCCUACUCAUGUAGUUGACAUAAAAUUACCCUAUAUAUGUAUAUAUAUGAGUAGGACUUUGUGCUAUUAGGAGCACAGAGGCCUCCGUGCUCCUAAGCCGUUUUCGACAAUUAACUUUCAAAUCGACGAUCAGCUUCGUUAGACUUGACCUAGCGUACUUGAAAUAUCUAGAAAAUAAAUAUCUAUAAAUAAAUACCUCUUCAAACCUCUCCUCAGUUUGAAGCAAUCAGCACUUAAUUUUGAAAUAAGAUUAUUAGGGUAAACUGCUAAUAAUGAACAAGUCUGAACAUAUUGAAAAAUUUUCAAGACAGAGGGCAAC